rnacentral:lncRNA from 1 species
UGAAAUUCAUAUAUAUCCUUGACUAAAUGAUUAAAACCUCACGAUCUAAGCUUAUAGAUUUGAGAUGAAGCAUAAUUUCCUCUCCCUUAAUUAUAGCAAAACAACUUUUUCCCAAUUGAAACUUUUGUUUUCUAUAAUUAACAUUGCUAACUUGCAAUACUUAUCAUAAUUAUCAUGCUCCCACUAACAUGAUGAUUAUUAGCAUAACACUUAUGCUCCCACUAGCUUUGACAUGUACUCAGAAAUCAGCUAAAUUUCUAUUGACUUUCUUACCAAAGAUCAGAUUUCUAAUACUAGAUUGCUUUGAUAAAACUUUAUCAAUAUCAUACACCUUAUCUUAGAUAGCUCACAGGCAUGUCUAAGCAAUUUUAAGAUCAAUGAAAAGGGAUGUCGUAAUCAUAGUCUCGAUUGUUUAGACCUUUGCCACUUCUCACAAGUCCAUGUUAGUGUGCCGGUUAACAACACACGUUCCACUAACGACUUUGAGAAUGCAAAUAUCACAAUUGCUAUCUAGCUAAAAUCUACUUAGUGAAAGUGUUUCCUCACCAUCAUUUUCAUGAAUCGGAGAGAAACCUUAUGACACUUAGAUUUAAUGGUGUAUGUGUUCUUAUCCAUGUGAAUUGUCAAAACCAUAGUCACAAGACAAGGAUAAUGACAAAUCCAAACUCAUAUGGACUGAACUCAAUCUUAAUUUCUUGCCACCUGGCAGCUCAAGGGCCUACCAUUGCUUCCAUGUUGUUAUGCAACCAAUUGAGAACUCUAAGAACUCAUAUGCAAAGCCAACUUUAACUGGAAUGGGCACAAAAUAUGUCAACACGACAGGUUGUAAACCUCAAGUCGUGUGCUAGUGAGGAACUUCAGGUUUUAUUCUUGAUUAGUUUUUUUGAAGACCUUUAAGACUCCCACUGUCCUCUUGACAUAUGAGACUUUCUUGUUAGAUACUCAAGAGACAGUGUGGAUUCUAAUCAAGACAAACACUUCACACAAUUGGCCUUAGCUGAUCUUUGUUAUAUCCAAAACAUCACAAUUUACCAAUUUCGAAUGUACAAGAGUAGAAAACUUUUACUCUUACAUUUGACAUGUGUUCUAAACCUUCUUUAAGACAUGUCACUCAAGUUACAUUCUUUGAUUAUAACUCUAAGACUUAUUUUUGGAACGAAGUAUGAAUCAUCUUCUUGAUUUAACCACUUCAACAAUUCAUAGCUCCUCUUCUUCGCUAUCAGAAUGCACUUAGAGGAUGAAUUAUGAUAAGGUCUCUAAAUCAUUAAGAUGAUCAUGUAACAUGAUACUAAAGUACUCUACCAUCUUUUCAGAUUUGAGAAACUUUUAUCCUUCUGCCUAAUUUAAUUCUUCUUAUUCGCUCUGCCAUACAUUGGAACAUUUUCCAAUGUCUUAGAAUUACACUUAAGCCUAUAAGUAUAACCUUAUUUACUGAGCUUUAGUAAAUUAUGAUGAAUAAUCUUAUCGAUCUUUUGAGGUGGACUUGACCAGUGCACAAGAAUUUGUACUCGAUCCCUUAGUCCUUCACUUGACUCACAUAUACAUGUGAACAAGGAACUAGUCUUAAUUUUCCAAAGAUGAAAAUUUCUCAUUCAUCAUGCUAUACAACUUGCAUGAUUCCAAGUUUCAGUCCAAUUGAAACUUGGGUGAGGAGGAUCUUUCCUGAUUUGGUAAAUUUAGACAUUACCACAAAUGAAAGAAUCAAAUUCACAUCCCAAUAUUGCUAUCAGUGGAAUCUUAUAAGCAACAAUUUUCCACAAACGCCAUUGUAAGGAUACAUAAAAUAAAUAAAAUCAAAAGUUUCCUUUUAUUUUAAAACUUUGCGGAAAAACUUAUCCUUACAAUCCAUAUGAAAACUUGUUGUUAUCUAUUCCUAAGCAAUAUCUCACAACUCCUAAGAAGUAGCUCAAGAAUCCGAUCUUCAACAUAUACAAUAGAAAUCUAUUUACGCGAUCAGAUUCAACAUAUUCUUUCUUUAAGUUCCUUCACUUUUCUUUGAUUCUUAAAACAUCACCAUGUGACCAAGUCACAUCAUGUAUCAAGAAUCUCAGAAUAGAAACUUAGCAGAGUUAGAUAGUGGACUUUACCUGAAGUAGAGUCAAACUUAUUGACUUUAACACCCUUAGGUAAAUUGGAAACUUCGUAAUCAAUUCCCCUUCCUUUGGCAAUAGAUACCUAUGGACCCUUGAUAAUGUUACAUGAGACUAUCUCAGACUUACCCUCUCUGUUUACCAUUUGGUCAACCGAGUUGACUAUGGCCGAUCCCUUUCCAUUGGGAAGAGAGAGCUUUACUAGAUAUCCAAUGUCAUCAUUGUAAAUGUCCAUAAAGUUUUAAGAAGUUGAUCUUAUCAAAUAGAUAAGAUCAUUAAGGGUCUUGUCAUAGUCUGUUUAAUAAGAGUCCCAAAGGAACUCACUAUGUGACUUAGAAAGUAACGGAGCCAAAACUUUCUCAAGACUUUGACACACAACUCUCCGGACUUGUCAAUAUAUAAUUGCAUCUCCAAGAUGUGAUCACACAUAGACCUUUGCUUGCCAAUAGGGCUUGAGUGACCUUUAACUUUUCAAGAACUUGUAGGCUAGGGAGAAUAAUUGGAGGAGGUGAAAGAAGUAUGAUUUCCAUGGGACAUCAUCUUCAUUUAGGAAAGUUUGUUUCAAGAGAUUUGGGAAUAUCAUAAAUGUCUAAACCAGACAUCUUUUGGGAGAUAUUCAAGAUAGUUGAUUAAAGUCCUUAAUAUAACACCCAAUAUGAAAUAUUAAGGCUAGGACCCAACACAAUACUUGUAUAGCUUGGAAGAGGGAUGCCGUAAUCCCAACUAUAAAAUAUUUGAAAGUAGGUGAAUGACGAUUCACCAAUUUCCACCAAGAAUAACGAAAUGUAUUAUUAGGUUUUAAUUGGAUUUCAAACUCCUAGAUCUUUCAGAUUCAUUGACCUUUUCAAUGGCAUGUUUCAAACUCGAGUGUGCCCUUUAGGUUUUGUGACUUGGAUGCCGAGGAUCACAAAACAAGUUUUGAAGUAACCAUGCAAAUUACUUGGUACCCUUAAGUGUUUACCCCUUAAUCGAUGUGCCGGUUAACCACACGCACUCACCCAAUACUAUGAUAAACAUAAAGCUACCCUUUGCCUACCUUGUUAAAUCCAGGUUAGUGUGCCGGUUAACCACACACGCUCCAGUAACGACUUAAGCAAAGUGCAAAGUGUAAUUUCAUGGAUUAGCACCUUAUUCACAUUUUUCCUAAGUAACUAAGAUUGGGUAUUUAUAAAAGGUAUAGUUACUUAGUAUUUAUCAUUAAUAAUUCUAAUGAAGGGAGAAUUAUAGUCCUUUUCCUACCCGUUCGGGUAACGACCCUCCACCAGUCAAGGAAGCGGUGGGUGAGAGUGGACAUCCAUUAAACUGCCAUUUUAUAGGCAGUAACCUUAUACCCCCCUUAUAGACCGGCUUCGUGAAUGAGGUCUACUAACGGUAAGACUGACUUUACUCUUAUACAUAUAUAUAAAUAUUAAUAACUUAUAAUAUUAUAAAGUAUAAGGGUUGAUUUUUAACUUUUAAAAUUCUAAGGGCUAACUUGGAAUUAAAGUAUUCAUAAGUGAAAACUUUUCAAAUUCCAAAACUUGAGGGCAAGUUUUGAGACUAUUCAAAACUAAUUAAUUCUAUAACUUAUGUGUUUAAAGUAGUUUUAAUUAAAAAAAACUCUUCAAGUUCCAUAACUUGAUGUGACAACCGUCAAUUUUGGCCAGGUCAAAGUCAACUAAAGUCAACAAGUCAAACCGGUCAACUCAUCUAGGCCUUGUAUAUUAGGGUUUCCAUUAUGCUUCUUAUUGAACAACUUGCAAACUUAAUACAAAGUAUCACUUAGAGUUUUCAUGUGUUCGGAAAUUCUAAACCCUAAUCAGCACAAGAGAUGGAACUAAACCGAUAAAACAAUGCUGCAUACUCAUCGGGAGUGUGUAAGACCCUUAAACAUGGCUUAACGAGGCUUACGGACCCUGCGUUGAGAAGCCAAACACUCAAAAGGGUCACAAAAGGAGCCUCUCCCAAUCUUUUUUCACUCUAUCUCUUUCUAUGUGAAACCUCUCCCAUAUCUCUCUAAGUAUGAGAAACCUCUCCUAAAUCUCUCUAUGUAUGAGAAACCUCUCCCAAAUCUCUCUCUGAAUGAGAAACCUCUCCAAGUAUGUCAAAUCUCUCCCAAAUCUCUCCAAGAAUGUGGAAUCUCUCCCAAAUCUCUCUCCAUAAGUGAAAUCUCUCCAAGAUUGUGGAAUCUUUCCCAAAUCUCUCUCUGAAUGAGAAAUCUCUCCAAGUAUGUCAAAUCUCUCCCAAAUCUCUCUCCAUUAGUGAAAUCUCUCCAAUAAUGUGGAAUCUCUCCCAAAUCUCUCUUUGAAUGAGAAAUAUCUCCAAGUAUGUCAAAUCUCUCCCAAAUCUCUCCAAGAAUGCAGAAUCUCUCCCAAAUCUGUCUCCAUAAGUGAAAUCUCUCCAAGAAUGUGAAAUCUCUCCAAUAAUGUGGAAUCUCUCCCAAAACCUCUCUCAAAAACCUCUUUCGAGUUUUAUAAUCAUUUGAGCCAUCCCAACACUUAAUCGGGUCAAAAACCGCUUAAAAUGGAGUUAGAAUGGAGAAAAUACCCUAAAAGACCCGAAAUCCCCUUUAUAGGGCCGAAGCCUCUUAGGGCCGGACCCUCUUGGACCGGAAGCAGCCAGGACCGAAGCCCCAGGGUGCAGCCGCAACAAGCUGACCGCAGCCAGCGAGCCGCAGCAAGCCCAGAGCCGCAGUCGUCAAGCCCGCAUCCGUCUCGCCUUCGGUCUUCCUUCGGACGUAGUCGCCUGUGGUAGCAGCUCGGACCGCAGCCUCCCUCCUCUCUCGGAUCCGCACCAGCAGCCCCAGUCACUCCGGUUCUAGGCUGCUGAUGACCGCAACCUCGCCCAGAACUUCGGAUUUCGGCAUUUCCUACCCGGUUUUCAAUAUUUUUAACAUUUUAAGCCCGUUUUUCAUCCUUUUAAUGCGGGAUUUUCUCCAGAAAUCAUAUCUUAACAUAUAAGACCCUAAAUAUUCAUAAUAUAAACAUAUUUUGAUGGAAAUAUUUAUUUAAGAAUAAAAUCUAUUAAGUGAGAUCAUGAGGUGGAGUGUGGCUCUUGCCAUAAUAUUUGACACAAACAACCACCCCAUGCUCAUUCCUUUGACCAGCUAUGGUCCUCCCCACCACUCCUAGUCACUUCAUGGUCCUUUUCCACUCAUUUUUCCAGUAAACUCUUACCCAAAGAGCUGGGAAAUCCUCUCUCAGUCUCUCUCUCUCUCUCUCUCUCUCUCUCUCUCUUCACUUUACUCAUUUUCCUCAUUUUCACCAAGAAGAUCAAACACCAUUUCUCUCAAACUUUCUCCCUCAAAUUCGAGAUUCAAGGCUGAUCAUCAAUCUUUCUUACACUCUUGGUAAGUAUAAUUCACCCUCUCUAUGAUUAUUACACUCCCUUUUACUUAUAUCAUAGAAUGCUUACACAAAUUCCAUCACUUUGGUGUUAGAUUCUCGAAAAUCUUUUAGGCAUCUUGAAGUGUUCUUGAGUUGAACACUUCUCUCCUUCAACAUCCAUCCACUUACAUCACAUAAGGUGAGUUUAUACCCCUACAUUUUCAUGUUUUCUUAAGUUUUUAGGGGGGGGGGGGAAUACAAGUUAAAACACCAAGAACAAAAUCAAACUUUUCUAACAGCUUUCAUCAGAAAAGUUGGACUUCAUUCACGAACUAUUUUGGACAACUUAAACAUUUUAGUUUUCAAAAAUGUAUUAGAUGCAAAUAGUUCCAGUUCUUAGCUUUAAAAUGACUACUUGCACAUCUCUAUACGAUUUGCUACAAUUUAUGGUGCUUUUUACAAACCUGUUUUGCACUAUAGCUGCGAAUCCGGACCAGUCUGUGAAUAUGAGCAUUUUUGAACAAGUUAGAGACAUCUAAAAAUCAUAAUAAAAUUUUUGAACAAACUAGACACAUUUUAGGAACUCUCAGAAUUUACGGAAUCAGUUUUCUACUUCGUAUGAUUUUUCUAUAAUUGUUAUUUGGCAGAAAAAUGUUAUCAAUUUCAUUUACACCUUGUAACUUGUUGAGCAAGGUGUGUUUCGUUAUGUGAACAUAUGUUAUUUGAUUUUGUGUCAUUUUGUCUUAGUAUAUUCACAUAAAAUAGAAAAUUCAUGGAUUUUACUCUUAUAAGUAUAGUAACAAACCGAUAGUUACAAACAAGUAUACACCCUUCGUAUUCAAACAUAUGAUAAACUAUGGUAGUGUAGUUUAUGUUCUUUACAUUAUCAACGAUUUUCAUAAACUAUAAUACGUAUAGUUUAAGAUUCAAUUACUUUCCAACUCAUAACCUAAGGUUUUCCGGUUCACGUAAAUCCAGUAAUAACUUUUGUGACACAUUCGCUUCACCUUAUCAAUAAGUCCUGUAUUGUAACCAAAGUCUCCUCGAGGGAGAGCGUGAUAGUUGUGUAUAGAUCUAUAUUGGGUCUGACAAACCCACACCAGAGCUGCUUGCAACAGCUAGACCGGCAGGUCUUAGGUGACAAAUGUCAUACCAGUUCCGACGCCUGAAGAACGUCGUUAGGCAAUCUAGGUCAUAGUAUGAUUAUACUAACUCACAUUAAGUAUUAACAAACAAAAAUUUACGGGGAUUUCAUUGAAAUCAAACGAGUUUAUGUCGAUUUAAACUUGCAGUAAUUUCUUUAAGUAUGGCAACAUACUUGUAUAUAUAUAUAUAUAUAUAUAUAUAUAUAUAUAUAUAUAUAUAUAUACACACUUUGAAAANUCAUUGUUUUAUGGCAGAUUUAAAACCACCUUUAUAACCACAAGUAUGGAUUUUACUUAUACACUUACGGUCUCGGAACUUGCGACUACAUAACACAAAACUCACACCUACAUUCAAUCUUCGGAUUUAGACUACAUAACACUUUACAAAGAAAAUAUCAGAUUUUUUGGGAACAUACUCCAUCGCUUUUACAAGGAAAACGGUUUCUUUCUUAAACAAAUCUUAUGAACUCACCAACCUUUGUGUUGACACUUUUUCAAACAACUUGUAUUCUCAGGAAUUCAGUGAAACCAAGUAACUACAAGCUUUUGAGGAUGGGACGCUUCAGCGUUAAACAACUAUUUUACAUAGUGUUGUAAUCAAUUAAUGACAUAUGUAACACUUGAAACCAUGUAAUACUUUUUCGAUUAUAUUUAUCAUUGGUUGUAUUGCUUUGAUCACUAUUAUACUCGUUGUUAUGAUACUUUACAUGAAGUCCUCCACCCCCGGACGUUUCCACCAUGCUUGGUUUGGGGGUGUGACACUUGAGGACAAGUUAUGGAAGACUUUAAACUAAUAAAAGAAUGUAACUUUUUCUUUAUUUUUGUAACUUAUGGAAUUAAUCAAGGUUACACAUUUUAUUACUUAAUGAAGUGACUUUUUAACCUCCAUAACUUGACGACAAGACUCUUCAAUUUUGUAACCAUUGCCAACUUUUAUGAGUUUUUAUGAAACUUAAAUGUGACCUUUCAUGUAACUUGAGGACAAGUUACACAAACACAUUUUAGAAUCAUCUCUUAGAUUAAAAUGGAUUGAAAACACAUAAUCAAUUAUCUUAUCUAUUAAUCUAAGCAACUCACAUGAACAAAGAUAAUUCACAUCAAACUUUUUCAUGUAAUUAGCAUAACUUUUAAACUAAUACAAAACAUGAAUCUAUUGACAAUUAUCUUUGAAAUUGGACUAGCAUGAACAUUACCACAUCAAAAACAAGUUUAUAAGUCCAAAAACAACUUAGGGUAAUGUUCCUAGUCUAAUUCCAGCCAGAACAGCAAACAACAAGUUGUCAACACCCAAAACUCGUCGACUUCCUUGAGAAACUCAUCGAGUUCAUGCCCAAUAUGAAGAACUCGUCGAGUUUUUGGCAUAAACUCGUCGAGUUUUAUGUUUUGGACAUAUUCAACUUUGAAAAAACACAUUUCCAUCAAGUAUAAGAGAAUGCAAGCAUAGGCUCUGAUACCACUGAUGGGUUUUGAGCAUUCUAACACUCCUAAGUGUACAUGCAACCCUAAAUACCUUGGAUCUAUGUUUCUCAAUUAUACAUGCAAAUGUGAACUUUCCAAGGUAUUCAUGUUAACUAGCAUAAUAGCAUUGAUUCAAAUGAAUAUAUUAAGUUAGAAUUACAUACCUAUUUGAUGUAGAUUGUCUUAAUGAAGCAUGAGUGCCUAGUGCCCCAAAUGUGACACCUCAAAUCAUUCACACAACACCAAAUACACAUGGAAUGACUUGAGAGAACUUCACACUUCAUGAAAACCGGCUAGCCCUUUCUAUUAUCCAUAGUGGCCGAUUUUCUCCAAGAAUAAGAUCAUUGUAUAGUUAGGGUUACACCAUGUAAACCCUAAUUAUCAUGGCCUUUCAUUUCCAUGAUCCAUGGGUACAAAUACACCAUGGAGCAUCUUAUGGGUUUUAGCCCAACUUGACAAUCUAUGGAGCAUUAGCCCACUAUAUAAGUAUGGAUGAUUUACAAAAUCAACCCAUAUAUUUAAUUAGUUUUCUUUUGAUCACUUAAUUAAUCCUAGAUUAAUUCUUGAUCAAUACUAAUUAAAUAAUCUUAUUAAUAUAUUAGAACUUAUAAUAUAUUAACCAACCUUAAGUGUUAUUUCUUCCAUUAUAGUCUAUCCAAAUGCAUGAUGCCAUGCAACCCAAAUGGACCAUGUAGGGUCAGGUCAAGUCUCACCAAUUAUAGUUAUGGACUUAGACAUUAAUCCAACAAUUCUCACUCAAGAGAUAUUCAACACGAAUGCUUAGCUCAAUGUUUUUCUGAUCUAGUACACUCACUGUUUUCUGGAGUUCAUCGAUCACGGAGUCAUCUUCUCUUGGCUGACCUUCACUAAAAGGAAUUCCUUUUCCCUUAGAAGAAGGUGCAUCAACUUGUUCUAGAGUAAGAUGUUGGGCCAAACGCACAGAAGCUGCAUCAAUAUCAGUUCUUGGAGGAGAGAAUCCUUGUGGAACUGAGGAGCCACCUGCUUCAAAGAAUGUGUUAGGGCAUUCACGUAACGGUUUUUUGGUUACAAUAGAAGGAGUGGUAGUUGGAGUAAAUGGCAAGCCCUGAGACAAGCUAGAGUCCAGAUGCCCGAACCUAGGAUCUCGUCGUCUUCUUUUGGACGAAGGCGGCAAUGUCUGGUCCGUUGCAAAAUCACCCUGAAGUGGCUCAGAUGUAGGUGAAGCAAUGUCAAGGGGAGGAAUCCCUGACACUGUCACCAUCAGAAUUGAAGAGAAAGCCACUUGUUUUGUAGUAAUGGGGGUUGAUUCGGGAGCAUCUUUCGAAUACCUACUCUCUGUUGCCGUGUGAGCAACAUCACUGAGAUUAUCUAGCAGCGAGUUGAGGUUGACGUUUGACAGAAAAUCAUCAUUAGUUCCAAAAUUGGUAGGGAUCUCAUCUCUGUCGAAACCUGUGAGAUCGAGGUCUUUAGAUUGAUUAGGCUCAGCAGUGUUCUUAAAAGACCCUUCAUUAUAAUCUCCUUCAACUUGGACAUUUUGUAGGUCAUGCUCGUCUGCAACUAACACAUUAGGAGCAAUAGUCUCUUCUCUUUCUUGAUCCGAUACGAUGAUCACAUCUCCUUCUGAGAUCACCUUUUCUGAUGAAGUAUGCUCCGAUGAAAUCUUGUCCGAAGAUCCAUGUGACUCGAUGGCUUCGCUCGGUUCAACAAAUCAUCCGAAGUUAACCAAUGGAUACAACCCCUGAAAGAGCACCUUCCCCCUGCGGUUUUGUUUAAUGAGCCCAAUGGUGUGGGGGCCCAAAGACUUCAUAUUGAGAGUAUCUCCAUCCUUUACCAAAUUGGGAAAUUGCUUAUUUAUGAAGAUCUGAACGAACCAAUGGUACAUUAGAAAAGUAUCCCGAGUAGUGGCAUUAAUGUUGACCACAAACUCGUCCAGGAUAAACCUAGAAAAGUUGAAGUCGAUCCUUGCAGCGAGAGAAACAAUAGCGCCAGUGUCUCUCAGGGAUAUCUCAUCAGCACCGGACCUUCUGCCGGAGAUGCAGCUCACGAACACGUGGGCUAGAAAUCUCCAAUAGGGCGGCAUAAGUUUCUUCAUUGUUGGUGGAGUAUCACUCUCGUACCCCAUCUUCCUUGAGCAUCACCAAUACCAAUCUCCGUGGGAAAGGUCGGAAGGUCGUUGAUCAGCAGAGUCUCUCUCACAAAGGUCUCAUCGAUAACAAUCUUGCAUCCCUAAAUGAUCACAUCCACAGUGACAGCUCCAUUAUCGUCCUUUGUCAUUUUGGCAGUCUACCAGAACUCACGAAUGAUUUUCUGAUAGACAGCAGUGUUCAUUGUAAUGGCAGAGGCCAAGCAGCAUUCUCGCAAUCCAUGAAUCAUUGAUUUAAAAUCUUGAUGAGCCACCAGAGGAUCAGCAAGAACCAUCGCCAGGUUGUGCAUAUCUACAAAUUUUAAAGUUGCCAUUUUUACCUGCACUAAAACAUACCAAGUAAGACAAGAGACAAUAGUGAGCAAUUAAAAUUUUUAAAUGAUUUAAUUUUGACCCCAAAAAUGAAUUAAUAAAUUUAAAACUAAAUAUUAGGUCAAAGUCAGAGUUUGCGGUCAACGAGGGUUUCGGCCAUAAAUCCGUGACCAUAUGCUAAUGGCCGCAAACGGAGUUUACGGCCGUAAGGUUCGGCCGUAAACUCCAAUAUAUCGAUUUUCGUCGAUUUCAGGCUCAAAACACGGUUAAUCACUGAAAGAAACGCAUAUUCCUGGUCGAAAACACGAUACCUUCAAAGCUAUCGGAGUAAUUUCGCAAAUAUCGAGAAUUUUUUUUUUCGAGAAGAGAGAGAGGGUGGGAGGGUUUGCGGCCGGAAUCAGAAAAAUGAUAAGGAUUCCGGCUGUAAACACCUUUUAUACCUUGAUUCCCUUUACCUGAUGUCCACACAGCGUAAGGAAGAGUCUAACACAGUCCAAUAUUUUUCAAAAAUUUUAACAAACAAAUCUUUUUGAGGAUUAAUAUUAAAACUAAAAUUAAAAAUAAAAUAAAAUUAAUUCUGCAAAAUUUAAAAUUAAAAAUAAUUAUUAGAUAUUAACAGUUAAAAAAAAUAAAAAUUAAAUUAAAAAUGAAAAUAAAAGUAAAAAUAAAAAUAAAAUAAGUAGAAACAACACCAAAUAAAAUAUACAACUUAAAAAAAAAUUAGUUACUGAGAAUAAAUUUGUGACGCUGGGAUCAAAGUUGUUGGGACAGCCUUACUCCACUUGUCGGUACCCUUAUUUCCACGUCUUCAUCUGAUCGAUCGCCAGUAUUGUGGUCCACUUAAACAUGAAACAUUUAUGACAUAAUUUUGGACAAUUUACCAAUAACAUGACAUUUUUAGCCCUUAUUCUUAUGUAAAUUUCUUAGGGACCAUAUAGCUGACGACAACAGGGAUAUUGUUGUCCACCUAAAUUGAGAAGCGAGAUCGGACAAUCUGUAUAUGUUCAAUUUUUAAUUGUGCUAGAACAUGUUUCCUGCUUCCUGAUAUGCUCCAGCCAUCAAUGACUUCUAGAAUACUCCUUACACCGGGUGAGCAAACAAUUAUUAAGAGAGAAGAUAGAUUUAGAAUGCAUAUGCUGUACAUUCAGGUCCGAUCUCUUCCAAUCACGCAGAGGAUGAAACAAAUGACUAACUGAAGUUUUAUUAGAGGCAUUGAGAAGAGAAUGGUGCAUAUACUGUGUACCAGGUCGGAUUUUGAGUCACACAAAGGAGACAAUAUAUGGCUAACAGAUAGAAAGAAUUGCAUAGAGAGAAGAUGCAGAGAGAUAGAGUUGUAUAUGUUACAGUCCAGGUCGGAUCUCUCGAUUACGCAGAGGAGGCAGCAUAUGACUAACAGACAGAAAGAAAGAAAAUAACCUUCUACAGACCUAGUUUAUCGGAAUUCCCCAGUCACCCCAUCAAAACCGGAAUUAAGGAUAGAAUCCGCAGAGGAGGCAACAUAUGACUAACAGACAGAAAGAAAGAAAAUAACCUUCUACAGACCUAGUUUAUCGGAAUUCCCCAGUCACCCCAUCAAAACCGGAAUUAAGGAUAGAAUCCGCACAUCGAGUAAAAGUGAAUCCAUAGUUCUAGAUACGGGUUCUUUAGUGUGACCAGUAAACUCCCAUGUAUAUCUCCCUCCUCAACCUAUCCGAGCGUCAUAUUUUCAGGCUAAAUGGAUCUAACUAGGUCAGUGUUUGUCAAGUCUUUGAUUACUUAAGUUUUAACUCUUCCUAGCCAAGUCCAAUUAAAAUAUUUCGUGCCUACCAAUGCGUCGAGCACAGAGAGUUGACAAUUCAACUUAGUUACAUUACAUAGAUUCAGAUUGCCCGUUAUCACUUGGUAAUUUCAUUUCCCAUCACAACACCUGCAAACAAGAUUAUCAGCAAUAUUUUUAAUUUUCUAGAUUUUUUAUUGUUUUUGGAUUUUUGAAAUUUUUAUUGUUUUUGGAUUUUUUGAUUAUUUUCCCCCUAAAUUUGUGCAUGGGUGAGAAUAAAAGUAAGAGAAAAUAAAAUGUGCAAAUUUAAAUCAACCUACCUACAGAAAAAAAAAAGCAAAUUUAAAACAUUAAGAAGAAUUAAGAUAAAAAUAAAACAGAAAAACUUAAUCCUCAAAAUGAAUCAUUUACAGAAAUCCCACAAGCACAUCGAAACGAGCUUUAUUAAAAGGCUUCGUGAACAGAUCUACCACAUUAUUAGUAGUGGGAACAUGUUCCAGUCGGGUUAGAGAACGUUCAUAACAGUCUCUGAUGAAAUGAAUUUUAAUAUCGAUGUGCAUGGUUUUAGAUUGUUGGACUGGAUUUUUGGCAAUUUGAAUUGCAGCCUUAUUAUCACAGUAAAUGGGAUUUUCUAAGUAAUUCAAACCGUAGUCCAACAACUGAUGUUGGGUCUAGAUAACUUGAGAACAACAGGCAGAUGCAACAACGUAUUUCGCCUCCGUUGUUGAGGUUGAUAUGGUUUGUUGCUUCUUGCACUACCACGAAACUAGUCUGUCACCAAGAUAUUGACACCCUCCUGAAGUAGAUUUCCUGUCAAGCUCACAGCCUCCAUAAUUACUGCCCGGAAAAGCAUAUAAAUCAAAUUCAGAAUUCUUCGGAUACCAAAGACCCAAUUUUGGGCUACCUUUGAUAUACCCAAAAAUUCUUUGACAACAAUAAGAUGUGAAAGUUUAGGAUUAGCCUGAUAACGUGCGCAUUAACAAACUGCAAACAUGAUGUCAGGUCGGCUUGCAGUAAGAUACAUCAACGAUCCGAUCAUCGAUCUGUAGUGUCUCUGAUCUACGGAUUCACCAUCAGGAUCUGGAGUUAGAAGAGGUCUUUUAGCCAUUGGUGUCGAUGCAGAUUUGGCGUCGUGAAACCCGAACUUCUGAAGAAUAUCCUCCACAUACUUGGCUUGAUGUAGCAGGAUUCCGGUUGAAUUUUGAUUGACCUGAAGGCCUAAAAAACAUGGUCAUUUCCCCCAACGAACUCAUGUUGAACCUCUUUUCCAUAACACCUUCGAAUUCCUUGCAAAGCAGCGGACUGGUCGUCCCAAAGAUAAUGUCGUCAACAUUGAUUUGAACUAGAAUCUGAUCAUUACCGACAUGCUUGAUGAACAAAUUUUGAUCGAUUGUGCCACGAGAGUAACCAUGCUCGAGCAAAUGCUUUGUUAGAGUCACAUACCACGCUCGAGGAGCUUGAUGUAACCCAUACAAUGCCUUGUCCACCUUGUAGACAUGAUUAUGAAACUUCGAGUCAACGAACCCAGGGGGCUGAUGUAACGCCCGUAGGUCCGGGUAUUUAAUUUAGAGAUAAUAGGGGUCGAAAAUGACUUUUUGACAAAAGAUUAUUUAUAAUAAAUAAUCUUAACCAAGUCAUAGAAUAUGUGUCAAGGGUUUCGUACAUGUAAAGAACGCCGAAAUCCGAGUUAUAACAAAGAAGUUAUGGCCCGUCGAAGUUUUUCGGCAAAACCGGCACGGCACCGGGAGACAUAAGAAGUAAAUUUAAGAUAGAGGACUUUUUAACCUUAGUGAUCUAAACAAAAGUUGUAGUAUACGUUAAACUGAGAACAUACAAAAAAAAGAAUGCCCAAAUCUGACUUCUUAUGACGAAGUUAUUAUUUUUCUAAGAUUCGACUUAGUAGUGUCGAGCGGUUUUUGACUUACGCGACCUAAAUGAGAGUUGAAGAUCUCAUUAAUAGGAACUUAAUUGUAAAAAUACAGAUGAAAACGGAGUCCGUAUGAAGGAGUUACGAAUUCUUCGCGGUCAUUUAACAGUCUAAACGCCUCCUACUAUUAAAUUUGAGAUCGGUCGAGAAAUAGCUAACGGAAUCUAAAUGAAAGUGUAGAUAUUGAUUUUACCUACGCAUUGAAAAAAAGAACGUAAAAAACAGACCUCGUAUACGAGAGUUAUGAUUUUUCUAAGUUUGAAGGCUGAUACAAGAUAGGUGACGUGGCACCACCAGACGGUUGCCACAUGCCCCAACUCGGUGAGUAGGUCCUCCUACUCGGCGAGUCCAUCAGUCAGCACCUCUAUAAAUAGAGGUGUCGGGUUCCCUCACUUCAUCACACCUUCAAACCCUUCUGUCUCUCUCUAGUUUCUCUCUCUAAAGCCCCCCCCCCCCCCCUAAAGUCUACGUAAAGCCCCUAGCACCCGAAGGAAGCCCUAAGGGUCCCGAAGCCUCGAGAAAAGAGUCUUUCGUCUCAGAAACUCUGCUCCGGUGGAGCCCAGUUUCCAAGGAAACCCGUUGUAAGUGAGCUGUACCUAACCUAUCUUUAGUAUAGCUUAUGUUUUAAUAUAGUAAUGUUAUUAGGUCCUUAAAAUAAUUAUUUGGGCUAUUAUUAUUAGUUAUAUUGAGUGUUAUUUAACGCUUAUAUAAUAAUAAUAAUAAUAGCUACACUAUUAAUUAAUUGUGGUUAACGUCAGACUAAACCCUAUUGAUAUUGAUACUAGGUUUUGUUAAGGAAAUUGUUUUAAGAGUAAUGAAGUGUUGUCCGAGUGUCGAGUCACCACCUAAUCAGGUGAGUGCAUGGUCCCUUUCAUCUUACACAUUGAUAUGAAGUAUUUAAUAUAUAUUACAUGUUGUGAGUGCAUGGUCUCUUUCAUCUUACACAUAGAUAUGAAGUAUUUUAAUAUAAAUUACGUGCUAUGUGUGCAUAUUGUCUGAAUACUUGUUGUCUAUGCUGAUGAAACAUUUUUAUACAUGUUUUUAAUGAUGUAAACUGUAUAAAGUAUUUUAUAUCUACAAAAUAUGUUGGGUAAAACAUGGGUAGAUGAAUCAUGAGGGGUAAAAGCUGAAAUAGAUGAACAUUAGUAGUAUGGACCUAGUGCCCUAUAGGUAAAAAUUGGCAGCAAAGGACCUAGUACUCUAUAGAUGAGCACUGGCAGCUACGCCACAACCCGUAGAUGUUUUAGAUCUACGGUAAACGUCCUAUCAGCUGCGCUCUAAGGAUAGUAUCGGCAGCUGCCCCUAAUAGGGAGCCUCAUGACCAUGACAGUAGCGUUUAAAGGUCAAUAUCGGCAGAAGCGCCUCAUAGAAAAUGUCCCAAUUCUGGCAGCGACGCAUAAGUGAUGGAACUAGCAGUUGUGCUUGACAGUUGUGUCAUUGAAAACAAUGGACUUCGUACAUAUUCCUUAGGAUAAUCCUUAGGAAUGAAUAAAUGAGAAAUAGCUAAUCCUUAGGGUAAAUCCUUAAGAAGAUAAUGGGAAUGGGUAAUUGGGUUGAUUGUUUGAUGUUUAAAUAUUAUAAUUAUAUUAUUGUGGGUUGAAAACCCUAUGUACUCACCAGGUUUCCCAACCUGACCCACUCCAGCUUAUUUGUAUCACAGGUGUUUAUACAAAGCUACUUUACACUAAGAGAUUUAAAAGAGAUGUAGAUCACUAGUGUAAAUGAAUGUAAGUUCUGUUUAUGCUUGUGUUCCUAUAUUGACGAUGACAUCUCAAUGUUUUUAAAUGAAUAAAAAAAAAUACAUUUCUUCGGAAAUGCUUUGAUAACGUAAUUAUCAUGUUUUUCUGGGGACAAAUUCUGCAACACUUUUAUUAAAAAAAAAGGUACUCUGAUUUUAUAAAGCAUAAACACAAUCGGUCUUUUCUGGCCGUGAAAAUUGGGGAUGUCACAGUUGGUAUCAGAGCACUAGUUUAAGCGAACGAGGAAUAUGGAUUUAUUUCUAGACUUAAACUUAGAGUGCUAAGCGAUGAUUUUGAGGUGUGAGCACUAGCUUAUUUUAGGAAUUUUGCCUAUGUGUUAAAUGCUUGUGCCUGAUAUGCUGUUAUUUGUUCGGAUCUAUGGUCUAUUGCCGACCGGAUCUGGAAACCUUAUGUGUUUAGGAUUCUAAGCAUUUAACUACGAUAUUAGAACUAGCAUAUAAACGUUUCGGAGUGAUAAGGAUGAUUUAAAUGUCAAUCCUAAAUAAAGAUCUGGAUUCACCUUAUUCGGUGUGUAGAUCAAGAUGGCAAGGACUCGUAGCGGAAACGUGAAUGCAAAUGGGAACCAAGAUCAACCUCCAGUGAUACAGCAAAUACCAGUCGUAGUAGAAGUUGCACCUGAGCCAAUCACCAUGGUUGGAGUACAAGCCAUGAUGCGGGCUAUGUUAGCUGAACAAAGGGAAGAAAUGAGGCGGAUGAUGCAAGAGAAUAGGGAUGAAGCCACCAUGCCCGUUGUGCAACAGGAGCCGAUUAUCGAACAAUCGGAGGAAGGAAACUACAGUAGGUUAGUCGGCCACAUUGAUCCGCCAGUUAAUAGGAGAAAAGGCCAAAAUUAUGUAGUCGAGAGAAACGAAUGCAAGUACAAGGAUUUUCUGACUUGGAAGCCAUCGAAUUUCACUGGAAAGGAAGAUCCAAUCCGAGUCAUGGAUUGGAUCUCAGAAAUGGAGUUAUCCUUUAUGACGUGCGCUUGCAGAGGCAAGCUGCAAACCACCUUCGUAGUGUGUCAGUUUCGAGGAGGCACUGUACGUUGGUGGAAUAACUUGGGGAAGAUUCUGAGCCCCAAUGAGCCCCUGCAACUAACAUGGGCAAAGUUUCUGGUGCAAUUCAAACGAAAGUACUACUCAGCUCAAAAUCUGCUCGAGUUAGAAAACCAAUUCCUUACCUUGAAGAAAGGAAACAUGUCUAUUGAUGAAUACACCAACAACUUCAUAGAGAAGAUGGAGUUCGACUUGCGUCUUGUUCCGGAUGAGCUGACGAAAAUCGACAAGUACGCAAAAGGACUUCCAUGGGAGUACGCGGUGCCAGUGCGUCAGGCACCUACUCUGGAAGCAGCUAUCCGGACUGCCAAAUCUGUGGAGGACAUGAUUAAGGAAAGAGCUUCUAGCAAGGUUGAGGUUGGCGAAAAUAGGAAAUUCGAAGGAUCGGCAAAGCCCGAUGAGAAGAUAAAUUGAAUUACAAGGAAGCUUAGAGGAGGAGGAAGCGAAGAAAGAUGGUGCGAAAAGUGCAAAAAGAAACACACUGGAAAAUGUGGUGAGGAGGUGACUUGUUUCAAGUGUGGGAAGCAUAGACAUUAUGCCAACGAGUGUACAUUCAACAAAAGGGUGUGUUACGGAUGUAACGAGGAAGGGCACUUCUAGUAUGACUGCCUAAAAAGAGAGGGGGCUACAAAGCCAAAUGUGCCGCUAAAGCCAAAGGCGAGAGCAUUUCAAAUGAUGCUUGACGAAGUAGAUGAUAACGCAAGGAUUCAGUAGUGAAGGCUUGACAUCCAAAGAUCGAGUUAUAAAGUAGUCGUGUAGAUAGUACCACGUGUUGUAGCCUAUUAGAGGUAUAGUAUAGGUUGAACCUGAACACCUAUGUAAUCGCUUCAAGGAAUAAUAUAAAACCUUCAUUUUGUUAUGUGAUGUGUUAAACUGUUAUGUGAUUUUCAUAUAUGGUGACUUGGAAGACUACGAGACAUGACUUACGCUUAUAUUCCUCCAUUCUAGAUAUCAUAUGGACUGAGACAUGGAUUAUAAUCAUUCUCUCUGUCCAUUUGUUGUUUCCCGAUUUUUGAUUUAUGAUGGCUGACUAAUUGAACAAAUCAAAUCAGUCCAAGCCCGGCCGAGCACUUACUUUUGUCAUUACUAAAUCAUCAAGGGGCCCACAGAUAUCGCUUUUAUCCCGAAGGUAAAGGAAUGGAUAAACUUCGACUCAUAUGCUUGUACUAACUAUUUGUUGAAUCAUACACAAAGGCAUGUUUUAUAACAUCGAGUUACCAAUGCGUUUACGUGCAAUCAAUGUAUAACCAACUCAUAGUCAACAACUCAUAUCUCUAGGUUUGAAGAAUAUAAGAUAUUAUCGUCUCAUGAUUCACUCGUGAUAAAAUCCAUGAAGUGAAUCCAAAUGAGCAUGGGUUGAAUUCAAUACUCAGCCCUUAUGAGUACUCAUGAAUAUUGUAGCAACUGUUGCAUUCUAAAGCACUUUAGACAAAUCAUACAAGCCAAAUUCACGACAGUGUUGAUUCAUAUCUACUUCCAACAUAUGACCGACUGUAAAUGGUUUUAAUAACUUGGUCAUUCGGGAGAAUGACCUAGUUAUUCUGGAAGUCAAAACAUGCAAAGUGAAACACAAAAUAAUACUAGUCCUAUAUGGCCUCAACACUUUGAGCGUAAAUAAAACACCUUUUAUCUAAGCACCAUAUUGAUCACUCAUUAUUCAUGUUUCGAUUAAUCAACUUAAUACUUGAAUUGAAACAGUAGUGAUGCCAUGCUCCAAGCAUGCAUACUAUGUUUCUCUAAACAAUAGCUAUGCCAUACUCCAAGUAUGCACACUAUGUUUACAUGUGGUCAUCUCUUUGUGAAAUGUAUAUCAAUUGAACAUGACUUCAAUGAUUCUCAUUUCAUAAUCCCAAUCCUUAUUGUAAAUGUAAGAAUACCAAGUUCUUGUCAUUUACUGUAAUCUAUGCAAUGAUCCUCUUGUAAUGAUAUUCACACAAGUCACAAAGACUUGGCAACAAACAUUACAAAGUAUUCCAAUGGAAAGCAAUUCCAUGGAGAUGAAGUCUCAAAUUCAAAGUACAUUCCUUUGAACAUCCUUCUUUGCAUUAAGUUCUUUAAUCUUACACAGAUUCAAAGAAUAACUUCCACCUAUGGAAACAAUUCCAUAUUCCCAUCUUGACCAUCACUUUUGAACAAGAGUUGCCUCUUUCCAAAAUAUGUCAAUACGAUCCUUACUCUAUACUUCCAAUUGUCCAUGAGUAACCAAACUUUGGAAAACCCCAAAUUGUUCUCGACAAUUGCUUAAUCAUCUUAGUCAUAUCCAGUUCUAAUCCCUUUUCCCUUCUUAACGCCCUAAGCAUUAGGAAAAUUUAGAAUGGAUGAAUAUUAUAACACAUGCAAUCGAUCCUAUAUCCGAAGCAUAUGGGAUACGAUUCAUGCUAUAAAAUUUUUAUUUGCCAUGUUCUCAUAAUUCGAACUAUGAAGAGGGAUGCCGUAAUCAUAAUCGAAUUUUGAGAAAGCAACAUAUAUAGAAAUUCCUUAUGUUGAACCAUUCCAACAUAACAUUCAUAUAUAUUCUUGACUAAAGUUGAUUAAAAUCUCAAUCUAAGCUUGUAGAAUUGGAAUGAAGUAUAAAUUUCUCUCCCUUAAUUAUAGUAAAACAACUUUUUCAAAGCGAGUUGAAACUUUUGUUUUCUAUAAUUAACAUUGCUAACUUGCAACAUAAUCAUCAUGCUCCCACUAGCAUAAUGAUUAUUAUCUAACUAGCAUAACACUUUAUGCUCCCACUAGCUUUGACAUGUACCUAGAAAUCAGUCAGAUUUCUGAUACUAGAUUGCCUUGAUAAGACUUUAUCAAAUCAUACACCUGGAGUCUAAACCUUUCCUUAGAUAGCUCACAUGUGAGUCUAAACCUUUGCCAUUCUCAUUAGUUAGUGUGCCGGUUAACCACACACGCUCCACUAACGACAUGAGAAUGCAAACUUCACACUUGCUAUCCACUUAAAUCUACUUAGUGAAAGAGUUUCCUCACUAUCAUUUUCAUGAAUCGGAGAGAAACCUUAUGACACUUAGAUUUUGAUGGUGUAUGUGUUCCUAUCCAUGUGAAUUUGACAUAACCAUAAUCACACGACAAGGUUAAUGACAAAUCCAAAUUCAUAUGGACUGAACUUGUGCAGUCUUAAUUUCUUGCCACCUGGUAGCACAAGGGCCUGCCAUUGCUUCCAAGUUGUUAUGCAACCAGUUGAGAACUCUCAGAACUCCAAUGCAAAACCAACUUUAACUGGAAUGGGCACAGAAUAUGUCAACACGAUAGGUUACAAACCUCAAGUCGUGGUCUAGUGAUUAACAAAACUCUUGAUUAGUUCUUGAAUCUAUCUUAAGAUCAUUUUAAGACUCCCAUUGACCUCUUGACAAAACCAUUCCUUGAGAAAAACGAAUAUUCAAGAGUUAGUGUAGAUUCUUAUCAAGUUAAACACUUCUCUCAAUUGGUCUUAGUUGGUCUUUGUUUUAUCCAAAACAUCACAACUUACCAAUUUCAAAUGUACAAGAGUAAGAACACAUUUUACUCUACAUUUAACAAGUGUUUUAAACCUUUCUUAAGAUUAUGUCACUCAAGGCUUAAUCUUGGAGUAUGACUCUAAGAUUUAAUUUUGGAACGAAGUAUAAUUUAUCUUUUGAUCUAACCAUUUCAACAAUUCACGAUUCCUCUCCUUAGCCAAACAAAAUGAACUAAGGUGUCCUUAGAGGAUCAAUUGUGACAUGGUUUCAUAAUCACUAAGAUAAUCAUAAAACAAGAUACUCAAGUACUCUCCCAUCUCUUCAGAUUAGAGAAACUUUUAUCUUUCUGCCUUAUUUGAUUCUUCUUACUCAUUAUGUCUAUCAUUGAAACUUCUCCAAUGAUCCAGAACUAUACUUAAACUUGUAAGUAUAACCAUAUUUACUAAACUUUAGUAAAUCAUAAUGAAUAAUCUUAUCAACUUUGUGGUGGACCUGAUCAGCGCACACCCAAGUGUAUCCGAUCCCUUUGUCCUUCACUUGAUUCACAUAUACAUGUGAACAAGGAAUUAGAUUUAAUUUCCCAAAUAAAUACAAAAAAUUCUCAUGAUCAUACAGUACAAGUUGCAUGAUUCCAAGUUUCUAUCCAACUGAAACUUGGGUGAUGAGAAUCUUUCCUUAUUUGGUAAAUUAUGACACUUCCACUAAUGAAAGAAUCAAAUCCAUUUACCUAUAUUGCUUAUCAAUGGAAACAUAUAAUCAACAAUUUUUCACAAAUGCCAUUGUUAGGAUACUUAGAAUAAGUAAAAUCAAAACCAUUUUUCUUUUAUUUUAAAACUUUGCGGAAAAAUUUAUCCUUACAAUCCAUAUGGAAAACUUGUUGCUGUCUAUUCCUAAGCAAUAUAUCAUAACUCUUAAGUAACUGUUGGAUUAAUGUCUAAGUCCAUAACUAUAAUUGGUAAGACUUGACCCGACCCGGCAUGGUCCAUUUGGGUUGCAUGGCAUCAUGCACUUGGAUAGACUAAAAUGAGAGAAAUAACACUUAAGGUUUAUUAAUAUAUUAUAAGUUCUAAUAUAUUAAUAAAGAUUAUUUAAUUAGUAUUGAUCAAGAAUUAAUCUAGAAUUAAUUAAGUGAUCAAAAGAAGACUAAUUAAAUAUAUGGGUUGAUUGUGUAAAUCAUCCAUACUUAUAUAGUGGGCUAAUGCUCCAUGGAUUAUCAAGUUGGGCUCAAACCCAUUGGAUGCUCCAUGGUGUAUUUGAACCCAUGGAUCCAUGGAAAUGGAUAGCCAUGACAAUUAGGGUUUACCCUAAUUGUAACACACUAUAUAAUGAUCUCUUUCUUGGGAAAAUCGGCGACUAAGAUAUGCAUGGAGGGCAAGCCGAUUCUUGAAGUGUUCUAAUUUCUCUCUAAGUUAUUCCAAGUGCUUAUGGUGUUGUGUGAACCAUUUGAGGUGUCACACUUGGGGCACUAGGCACUCAAGCUUCAUGAAGACAAGCACCAACAAAAGGUAUGUUAUUCUAACUUGUGUUAUUCAAAGUUUUGUAUGCUAGAAUAGAACAAUACCUUGGAAAGUUGAUAUUUGCAUGUAUAAUAGAGAAAACAUAGAUCCAAGGUAUUUAGGGUUGCAUGUACACUUAGGAGUGUUAGAUUGCUCAAAACCCAACAGUGGUAUCAGAGCCUAGGCUUGUUUUCUUGUUGUACUUGCUUAAACUGCUUAAAAAUCGACUUUUGGUGCUGUCUGCCCAGCAGACUCGCCGAGUCCAUGAAGGGACUCGACGAGUCCAAGGCAAAAUGCAUCCAACUCGCCGAGUUUGUUCAUGCACUCGACGAGUUGGACCCCCAGACAGCAUAUUUUCGAGUUUUGGUGCUGGAAUUGGUCUAGAAUCAUUACCUUUGACUGUUUUGGGCUUAUAAAACUUGUUUUGAAUGUGGUAAUGAUUAUGUUAAACCAAUUUCAAUGCUAUAAUAAAAGUUUCAAGUUUAUAUGUGUUCAUGUUAUUCUUGAAAAUUGUUGAUUAUGAAUGAUCAUGCUUAUGAGUUUUGCUAGAUCAUAGGAAUUGUGUGCAAAUUGUUUGUUGAUAUAAUUCAUGAUCUUGUUGAAAAUUGUAUGGAGUUCAUAACUUGUCCUCAAGUUAUGAAUUUUCAAGAAUUUUAUGUUUCCUUGAUUUAUGAGUUAGUUUAGAUUGAUAAUGAAAAAAUUAUGUUUUAGUUGUUUUCAAUCCAUAUUAGUCUAAAAGAAGUUCAUAAAAUAUGUUUUUGUAACUUGUCUUCAAGUUAUGUGAAAAGUCAUAUUUAUGAAUCUUAAAAACUCAUAAAAGUUUUGUAGGUUACAUAAAAUGUAAGAGUUUUUUCCAUUAAAUAGUUUAAUGACUCCAUAACUUGUCCUCAAGUUAUGGAUGUUGAAGAGACACUUCUUUAAAGUGUUUUUAAAGAAUAAGGGGUUACAUUAAAAUGAAGAGUCUUCAUUUUAAUGAACCAUUAAACUCAUAAGUUAUGAUUUAAAGAGUCUUGAAAUAGUUUCAAAACUUGCCCUCAAGUUUUGGAAUUUGAAAAGUUACUCCUCAUGUAUACUUUAAUUCCAAAUUGAACAUUGAAAUUUUAAAAAGUUUAAAAUUCAACCCUUAUACUAUUAUUAUAAUUUUAAUUAUAUAGAUAUGUAUAAGAGGAAGUCAAUCUUACCGUUAGUAGGCCUCAUUCACGAAGCCGGUCUAUAAGGGGGGUAUAAGGUUACUGCCUAUAAAAUGGCAGUUUAAUGGGUGUCCACUCUCACCCACCGCUUCCUUGACUGGUGGAGGGUCGUUAGCCGAACGGGUAGGAAUGGACUAUAAUUCUCCCUUCAUUAAAAGUAUAAUGAAAAAUACUAAGUAACUAAACACUUAUAAAUUCCCAAUCUUAGUUACUUAGGAAAAUGUGAAAAGGUGCUAGCCCAUAAAAUUACACUUUGUACCUUACCAAGUCGUUAGUGGAGCGUGUGUGGUUAACCGGCACACUAACAUGGACUAGUAAGAGUGGCAAAGGGUAACUUGACUUUAUUAUAGAUCGGUGGAGCGUGUGUGGUUAACCGGCACAUCGAUUAGGUAAUAUUGUUAAGGGUACCAAGUCAAUUUGUAUGGUUAUUCACACCUUGUUUGUGAUCCUCGGCAUCCCAGUCACAAAUUUGAGAGGGCACAAUCGAGAUUCAAACAUGCCAUUGAAAAGUUCAAUGUAUCUCAAAAGAUCUAGGAGUUUCAAAACCAAUAAAACCUAAUAAUAAAAUAUUUCGUUUUCAUGGUGGAAAUUGGUAAAUCGUCAUUUACCUACCUUCAACUAUUUUAUAAUUUGGAUUACGGCAUCCCUCUUCCAGUUAUAAAUAGGUUGUUGGGUCCUAGCCUUAAUAUUUCAUAUUGGGUGUUAUAUUAAGGACUUUAAAUCAACUAACUUGAAUUUCUCCCAUUAUAGAUGUCUAGUUUAGACAGCUAUGGUCUUCCCAAAUCUUUAGGAACAAGCUUCCUAAUGAAGAUGAUAUCCCAAAUGGCAAUCAAGGUGAAAGAUCAAUCCCUUUGUUGGGCAUUUGUGGGACUAGAAAUCAUACUUCACUUCAUCCACCUCCUCCAAUAAAUCUCCCUAUCCCACAAGUUUUAAGACUUGAUAAGUUCUAAGUCACUCAAUCCCUAUUGGCAAGCAAAGUCUAUAUGUGCUUAGAUCUUGGGGAUUAAGCCACAUAUUGACAAGUCGGGAGAGUCGGGUGUCGAAGUCUCGAGGUAGCUGGCUGCUGACUUGGUUCUUCAGUCACUCCCUGAUGACAGGUCGCGACAAGACCCUUAAUGAUCUUACCUAUUUGCUUGAUGAUGCUAAAUCAGCAGUGAUUUGGAGCAUUAGUAAAGCAAAUUGGAUUGGAAGAUCUACUUUCCAAACCUAUUUGGACAUUGAAAAUGGUGACAUUGGAGGUCCAGGAAAAACUUUCUCUUCCCAAUGGAAAGGGAUCGGCCAUAGUCAACUCGGUUGACCAAAUGGUAAAGAGAAAGGUUAAGUCUGUGAUAGUCCCAUGUACCGUUUCCAAAGAGUCCAUAUGAUUCUGUUGCCAAAGGAAAGACAUUGGUUGCGAAGCUGCUAAAUUUACCUGAAACAUCUUAAGGAUGGUAAAGUCAAUAGGUUUGACUCUACUUCAGGUAAAGUCCAUUGUCUAACUCUAUUAAGUUUCUAUUCUGAGAUUCUUAUUGCAUAAUGUGACGAGGUCACAUGUUGAUGUUUUAAGAAUCAAAGAAAAGGUGAAGAAACUUAAAGGAAGUAUAUGCUGAUUCUGAUCGCGAAGAUGGAUUUCGAUCGCAUGGUUCGGUGAUCAGAAUUUUGAGUUGUUACUUAAGAGUUAUGAUAUAUUGCUUAGGAAUAGAUAACAACAAGUUUUCCAUAUGGAUUGUAAGGAUAAAUUUUUCCGCAAAGUUUUAAAAUAAAAGAAAAAUGGUUUUGAUUUUAUUUAUUUUAAGUAUCCUUACAAUGGCAUUUGUGAAAAAUUGUUGAUUAUAUGUUUCCAUUGAUAAGCAAUAUGGGUAAAUGGAUUUGAUUCUUUCAUUAGUGGAAGUGUCAUAAUUUACCAAAUAAGGAAAGAUUCUCAUCACCCAAGUUUCAGUUGGAUAGAAACUUGGAAUCAUGCAACUUGUAUUGUAUGAUCAUGAGAAUUUUUUUAUAUAUUUGGGAAAUUAAGUCUAAUUCCUUGUUCACAUGUAUAUGUGAAUCAAGUGAAGGACAAAGGGAUCGGAUACACUUGGGUGUGCGCUGAUCAGGUCCACCACAAAGUUGAUAAGAUUAUUCAUUAUGAUUUACUAAAGUUUAGUAAAUAUGGUUAUACUUACAAGUUUAAGUAUAGUUCUGGAUCAUUGGAGAAGUUUCAAUGAUAGACAUAAUGAGUAAGAAGAAUCAAAUAAGGCAGAAAGAUAAAAGUUUCUCUAAUCUGAAGAGAUGGGAGAGUACUUGAGUAUCUUGUUUUAUGAUUAUCUUAGUGAUUAUGAAACCAUGUCACAAUUGAUCCUCUAAGGACACCUUAGUUCAUUUUGUUUGGCUAAGGAGAGGAAUCGUGAAUUGUUGAAAUGGUUAGAUCAAAAGAUAAAUUAUACUUCGUUCCAAAAUUAAAUCUUAGAGUCAUACUCCAAGAUUAAGCCUUGAGUGACAUAAUCUUAAGAAAGGUUUAAAACACUUGUUAAAUGUAGAGUAAAAUGUGUUCUUACUCUUGUACAUUUGAAAUUGGUAAGUUGUGAUGUUUUGGAUAAAACAAAGACCAACUAAGACCAAUUGUGAGAAGUGUUUAACUUGAUAAGAAUCUGCACUAACUCUUGAAUAUUCGUUUUUGUCAAGGAAUGGUUCUUGACAAAGAGAAUCUUAUAUGUCAAGAGGUCAGUGGGAGUCUUAAAAGGAUCUUAAGAUAGAUUCAAGAACUAAUCAAGAGUUUUGUUAAUCACUAGACCACGACUUGAGGUUUGUAACCUAUCGUGUUGACAUAUUCUGUGCCCAUUCCAGUUAAAGUUGGUUUUGCAUUGGAGUUCUGAGAGUUCUCAACUGGUUGCAUAACAACUUGGAAGCAAUGGCAGGCCCUUGUGCUACCAGGUGGCAAGAAAUUAAGACUGCACAAGUUCAGUCCAUAUGAAUUUGGAUUUGUCAUUAACCUUGUCGUGUGAUUAUGGUUAUGUCAAAUUCACAUGGAUAGGAACACAUACACCAUCAAAAUCUAAGUGUCAUAAGGUUUCUCUCCGAUUCAUGAAAAUGAUAGUGAGGAAACUCUUUCACUAAGUAGAUUUAAGUGGAUAGCAAGUGUGAAGUUUGCAUUCUCAUGUCGUUAGUGGAGCGUGUGUGGUUAACCGGCACACUAACUAAUGAGAAUGGCAAAGGUUUAGACUCACAUGUGAGCUAUCUAAGGAAAGGUUUAGACUCCAGGUGUAUGAUUUGAUAAAGUCUUAUCAAGGCAAUCUAGUAUCAGAAAUCUGACUGAUUUCUAGGUACAUGUCAAAGCUAGUGGGAGCAUAAAGUGUUAUGCUAGUUAGAUAAUAAUCAUUAUGCUAGUGGGAGCAUGAUGAUUAUGUUGCAAGUUAGCAAUGUUAAUUAUAGAAAACAAAAGUUUCAACUCGCUUUGAAAAAGUUGUUUUACUAUAAUUAAGGGAGAGAAAUUUAUACUUCAUUCCAAUUCUACAAGCUUAGAUUGAGAUUUUAAUCAACUUUAGUCAAGAAUAUAUAUGAAUGUUAUGUUGGAAUGGUUCAACAUAAGGAAUUUCUAUAUAUGUUGCUUUCUCAAAAUUCGAUUAUGAUUACGGCAUCCCUCUUCAUAGUUCGAAUUAUGAGAACAUGGCAAAUAAAAAUUUUAUAGCAUGAAUCGUAUCCCAUAUGCUUCGGAUAUAGGAUCGAUUGCAUGUGUUAUAAUAUUCAUCCAUUCUAAAUUUUCCUAAUGCUUAGGGCGUUAAGAAGGGAAAAGGGAUUAGAACUGGAUAUGACUAAGAUGAUUAAGCAAUUGUCGAGAACAAUUUGGGGUUUUCCAAAGUUUGGUUACUCAUGGACAAUUGGAAGUAUAGAGUAAGGAUCGUAUUGACAUAUUUUGGAAAGAGGCAACUCUUGUUCAAAAGUGAUGGUCAAGAUGGGAAUAUGGAAUUGUUUCCAUAGGUGGAAGUUAUUCUUUGAAUCUGUGUAAGAUUAAAGAACUUAAUGCAAAGAAGGAUGUUCAAAGGAAUGUACUUUGAAUUUGAGACUUCAUCUCCAUGGAAUUGCUUUCCAUUGGAAUACUUUGUAAUGUUUGUUGCCAAGUCUUUGUGACUUGUGUGAAUAUCAUUACAAGAGGAUCAUUGCAUAGAUUACGGUAAAUGACAAGAACUUGGUAUUCUUACAUUUACAAUAAGGAUUGGGAUUGUGAAAUGAGAAUCAUUGAAGUCAUGUUCAAUUGAUAUACAUUUCACAAAGAGAUGACCACAUGUAAACAUAGUGUGCAUACUUGGAGUAUGGCAUAGCUAUUGUUUAGAGAAACAUAGUAUGCAUGCUUGGAGCAUGGCAUCACUACUGUUUCAAUUCAAGUAUUAAGUUGAUUAAUCGAAACAUGAAUAAUGAGUGAUCAAUAUGGUGCUUAGAUAAAAGGUGUUUUAUUUACGCUCAAAGUGUUGAGGCCAUAUAGGACUAGUAUUAUUUUGUGUUUCACUUUGCAUGUUUUGACUUCCAGAAUAACUAGGUCAUUCUCCUGAAUGACCAAGUUAUUCAAACCAUCCACAGUCGGUCAUAUGUUGGAAGUAGAUAUGAAUCAAGACUGUCGUGAAUUUGGCUUGUAUGAUUUGUCUAAAGUGCUUUAGACAAUGCAAUAGUUGCUACAACAUUCAUGAGUACUCAUAAGGGCUGAGUAUUGGAUUCAACCCACGCUCAUUUGGAUUCACUUCAUGGAUUUUAUCACGAGUGAAUCAUGAGACGAUAAUAUCUUAUAUUCUUCAAACCUAGAGAUAUGAGUUGUUGACUAUGAGUUGGUUAUACAUUGAUUGCACGUAAACGCAUUGGUAACUCGAUGUUAUAAAACGUGCCUUUGUGUAUGAUUCAACAAAUAGUUAGUACAAGCAUAUGAGUCGAAGUUUAUCCAUUCCUUUUACCUUCGGGAUAAAAGCGAUAUCUGUGGGCCCCUCGAUGAUUUAGUGAUGACAAAAGUAAGUGCUCGGCCGGGCCUGGACUGAUUUGAUUUGUUCAAUUAGUCAGUCGUCAUAAAUCAGAAAUCGGGAAACAACAAAUGGACAGAGAGAAUGAUUAUAAUCCAUGUCUCAGUCCAUAUGAUAUCUAGAAUGGAGGAAUAUAUGAUCACUUAUCUAAUGGACAAGUCAUUGACAGAGGUCAGAGUUCAUCGACAAGGUCAGAGAUCGACAGAAGCUUUUGAGAGCUACGAUUGCUAGUCGGGUUCUGAAGUCAUACUUGCAAUAAUAGUUUUAGACUUAUCCAAGUGGGAGACUGUUGGAUUAAUGUCUAAGUCCAUAACUAUAAUUGGUAAGACUUGACCCGACCCGACAUGGUCCAUUUGGGUUGCAUGGCAUCAUGCACUUGGAUAGACUAAAAUGAGAGAAAUAACACUUAAGGUUUAUUAAUAUAUUAUAAGUUCUAAUAUAUUAAUAGAGAUUAUUUAAUUAGUAUUGAUCAAGAAUUAAUCUAGAAUUAAUUAAGUGAUCAAAAGAAGACUAAUUAAAUAUAUGGGUUGAUUGUGUAAAUCAUCCAUACUUAUAUAGUGGGCUAAUGCUCCAUGGAUUAUCAAGUUGGGCUCAAACCCAUUGGAUGCUCCAUGGAUGCUCCAUGGUGUAUUUGAACCCAUGGAUCCAAGGAAAUGGAAAGCCAUGACAAUUAGGGUUUACCCUAAUUGUAACACACUAUAUAAUGAUCUCUUUCUUGGGAAAAUUGGCAUAUAGAUAUACAUGGAGGGCAAGCCGUUUUCUUGAAGUGUUAUAAUUUCUCUCUAAGUUAUUCCAAGUGUUUAUGGUGUUGUGUGAACCAUUUGAGGUGUCACACUUGGGGCACUAGGCACUCAAGCUUCAUGAAGACAAGCACCAACAAAAGGUAUGUUAUUCUAACUUGUGUUAUUCAAAGUUUUGCAUGCUAGAAUAGAACAAUACCUUGGAAAGUUGAUAUUUGCAUAUAUAAUAGAGAAAACAUAGAUCCAAGGUAUUUAGGGUUGCAUGUACACUUAGGAGUGUUAGAUUGCUCAAAAGUUCUACGUGUGCUAGCUGUAAUGUGUGUUCUCCCUCUAUCUAGCAAGUAUAGUAAUGUACUGUAAUGUUCUAGCUGUAGUGUAUGUGCUCUCUAUUUAGCAAGUAUAGUAAUGUACUGUAAUGUUCUAGCUGUAGUGUACGUGCUCUCUAUCUAGCAAGUAUAGUAAUGUACUAUAAUGUUCUAGCAAGUAUUGACUCAUGAAUGAACUGACUCAUUGUAUGGUAUCGCGUUCUAGUAUUGUUCUAGUAUCUUCCUCAACUACCUGUAUGGUAGUUUACUAGUAAUCUAACAGGUACGUAUGGACAUGGAUGUAUACCCUUGCUACCCAAGGGCAUGGGAUGAACUGGAAGGGCCUUUAUGACUAUAUAUGUACAUAUGAUAUAUAACUAAUAUUUAAACGACCUUCGGACGAGUACCCGAUAUCCCACCAGACCACAUCUCAAGCACGAAAAGGAAAUAGGGUGGAUAGCCUUCCUAAGUCUUUUAAACAUUUCUUAUAUAACUAUACAUAUAGAGGCAUGCAAUUUGUAAUAUAAAAGCAUAAAUAAGUUUUGUAAAACCUUUCAACAUAAUUAUUAUCUUAAGAAGAGAUCGACUUGAUGUCAAUCUAUAAAACGGUUUUGAAGGCAUGGGUUUGAUAAAACGGUUUAGUAUAAAGAAACAUUUGUUUGAAACACAAUUGUAAAUAAGUUUGAAAAGUAAUAUACAGAGUAAAAUGUACAGAGAAAUAAGGAGUUUUAAACACAUAAAGUGUUUAUGAAAGACAUUUGAAGGAAACUGUUUAGUAAAACGGCUAAUGAGUAGCCAAUCAUUUGAAUGCUGCUUANCUUAUUAAUUACAUGUGAUUGAUAUAAUAAUUAGCAUAAUUCUACUUGUAUCCCCCCAUAAAUAUUUAAAAAUAGUUUAAAACAUUGAUUAAGGGGUAUGAACUCACCGGUGGUAAGUGGAUCGAAACGAAGUGUCGGAUAAGUGCUUGGUGUCAAGUGAAGACCUAGACACGCACAAAGAUCCUAAUAACAUAUAAGGAUAUAUGUAUAUACACAAUUAGUCUUUAAAAAACUAAUAAACAAAGUUAAGACACUCUAGGACAUGCUAAACACUUUAUACAAGUGUUAUACGUCUCAAGGGUUGCAUCUAAGUGUUGUAGAGAAAGGCUAGUGUGUUUGGGGUCCAAGGGUAAACUCCCUUGGAGUUUACGGUUUUGAUGGUCAUGACACCAAGAGUUUACGGUCGUAAACUCUAGUCCUAAUGACUAGGUGUUGUUUGGUGGUUUAACAAGCCUCUUGGAGAAAUUCUACUAAGUGGUUUGGCCUUUGGAAUGGACUAGGGCAUCAAAACACCUCUUUUGAGGAGUUUACGGCCUCAUGGCAUUUUCCCUUGGGUUCAUAAACCGUAAACCCAUAUGGAAGAGUGUAAAGUCAUGUUUUCAAGUCCCUAACACAAUUAGGGAACUAUAUGAGCUAGUUUCUAAGCCUAAGGAAGGAAAAUGACCAACUUAAACUCAGUUUAGGGUGUUUACGGUUUUGGGAGAUCCCUAAACCGUAAACCCCUAUAUUUGAUGGUCUUUGAGGUUUUUCUAGGUUUAAACUCAAUGAGGAAGGGUUUAAACAUGUCAAGGAAGGUUUAAACAUGAACUAGGGCUUAGAUUUGAGGCUUAGACACACUUUGGUGUCAUUUAUGGUGUUUACGGCCCAAAAACAUUCUUGGACCAUGAACACUUCGAAUCUUGUGUUCUUGACAUAUUUUCUUGAUGUUUAAAUGUAGUACUAGCUUAAAAUUACUCAAGGAUAGAAGCACUUACUAUUGGAAGGCUUGGUUUGUGCUAAAAGGCCAAGAAAACUUAGUGAGUGUUCCUGGUGUUCUUGGUGUUUUGGAAAAAUCUAAACAAAACACAUAAAUGAAUGGAUGAAUAGAUGCACAAACACUAGAUUAAGUGUUUUCCUAAAUUGAAAUGGUUAGAAUACUUACAACUUUGAAGAUUUGGAAUUAAAUCUUGGAUGAUACUUGAGAGGAUAUUUUGGAGUUUACUCUUUUGACUUUUGGGGAGUAAACACAAAUGACUAACUUUUUGGGGAGUAAACUCAUACAUAGGCAUGAGUUUACGGUUUUGGUGAUUUCUAAACCCAAAACAUAAAAGUUUGGUCGGGUGUUUCUAAUACGCGAAGUGUUUGCGGUUUUCAAAAAUCAAAACCCGAGACGACACUUCCUUUCACACAUUCGCUUAAAAAUAAUAUUAAAAUAAUCAAACGAAUUUUAUAUUUCUUAAAAAUAAGAAAUAAUGACAUUGACUUAUGAUACGAAGGGGUUGACUUUUAGGGUUUGACCGAAUGGAAAAUUCGGGUUGUCACAAGAGUCAUGUUACAUUAGGGUUUUACCUAAUGCAACACACUAUAUAAGGACCAUGUCUCUCCCCAAAAUUGGCUAAACUAAAGUUUUAGUAUACGUUAAACCGAGAACAUCCAUAAAAGGAAUGCCCAAAUCUGACUUCAUAUGAGGAAGUCAUGAUUUUUCUAAGAUUCGGCUUAGCAGUGCACAACCCGAAACUCGAAUUUUAGUUCGAGCGGUUUUUGGCUUACGCGACCUAAAUGAGAGUUGAAGAUCUCAUUAUUAGGAACUCAACGGUAAAAAUAUAGACAAAAACGGAGUCCGUAUGAAAGAGUUACGAAUUCUUCGCGGUCAUUUAACAGUCUAAACGCCUCCUACUAUUAAAUUUGAGAUCGGUCGAGAAUUAGCCGAUGGAGUCUAAAUGAGAGUUCUAGAUCUUGAUUUUACCUACGCUUUGAAAAAAAGUACGUCGAAAACGGAGAUCGUAUGCGAGAGUUAUGAUUUUUCUAAGUUUGAAGGCUGAUACACGAUAGGGGGUGACGUGGCACCACCAGAAUUGGACACGUGGCACCACCAGAAGGCUACCACAUGACCCAACUCAGUGAGUAGGUCCUCCUACACGGCGAGUCCAUCAGGAAUUCACCCUAUAAAUAGUGGUGUCGGGUCUUGCCAUUUCUUCAAACCUCUCAAACCUUCUUUCUCUCUCUACAUUCUCUCUCUAAGCUCCCUAACCCCCCUAAAAGCCUCGGUAAAGCCCCUAGCACCCGAAGGAAGCCCCGAGGCUCCUGGAGUCCCGAGCAAAGACCCUUUCGGCUCGGGAACGUUGCUCCAGUGAAGCCCGAUUUUGCGAAAAACCCGUUGUAAGUGAGCUACGCCCACACUAUUUUUAAUAUAGCUUCUAAUUAAUUAUAGUAACAUUAUUAGGACCUUAAAAUAAUUAUUUGGGCUAUUAUUAUGAGUUAUAUUGAGUGUUAUUUGGCACUUAUAUAAUACUAGUAAUAGCUAGACUAUUAAUUAGUCACGGUUAACGUUAGACUAAAGUCUACUGGUAAUGAUACUAGGUUUCGUCAUGGGAUAAUUAUUUUAAGAGUAAUGAAGUGAUGUCCGAGUGCCGACUCACCUCCUUACCAGGUGAGUGCAUAGUCCCCUUCAUGAACAUGAUUUUAAUACAAGUAUUGAUUUAAGUAUUAAUUAUAUGUUUAUGUGCGAGCUAAUUGAUGUUGUCUGAAGUACGUGUUAAAGAACAUACCUGAUUAUAUAUGAUGAUUUAGGAUAAAGAGUAAACCUAAAUUAAUUAUGAGGAAUAUUGGGUAGUAUUUUCUUAUGAGUACAUGUGAGUUAUACUCAGAGAAUAGAACUUUAGUAUAUGUCAUUUAUCCGAGAGCAUGGAUUAGACAUGGUCAUUGUCCCUAGUCCGAGAGUAUGGAUUGGACAUAGUCAACUAUCAUUAAUUCGGGGUCAUGGAUUAAGACAUAGUCAGUUGUCCUUAGUCCGGGAGUAUGGAUUAAUACAUAGUCAUUCGUCCCUAGUCCGAGAGUAUGGAUUAGGCAUAAUCAUUCGUCAUUAAUUUGAGAGUAUGGAUUAGUCAUUCGUCCUUAGUCCGAGAGUAUGGAUUAGACAUAAUCAUUCAUCAUCAAUUCGAGAGUAUGAAUUAUUCAUUUGUCCCUAGUCCGAGAGUAUGGAUUAGGCAUAACCAUUCAUCAUUAAUCUGAGAUUAUGGAUUAGGUAAAAUGGUUAUUCUUAUGUUUGAGAGUAUGGAUAGUCUCGUUGUGAGAAUCGACGGGGUGGGAUAAGAGUUGCUUACACAUAUAUGGUGAAAUUGUAGGUUUUGUGAGUUCCAAAUUAUAUAUAUGAUAUAAAAUUGUGGGAUUGAAAUCCGUAUGUACUCACCAGGCUUCCCAACCUGACUCACUCAGUUUAUUUAUAUCACAAGUGUCGAUAUGAAGUGACAUUACACUGAGAGAUUAAGGAGAUAUCGAUCACUAGUGUAAAUGAAUGUAUGUUCUGUUUAUGCUUAUGUUUAUGUAUUGACGAUGACAUCCCAAAGAUUUUAAAAUGAAUAAAAUACGUUUCUUCGAAAAUGUUUUGAUAACGUAUUUAUCGUGUUUUCUGGGAACAAAUUCCGCAACAUUUUUAUGAAAAUAAGUACUCUAAUUUUUAACAAAGCAUAUAAAAAUUGGUCUUUCCUAGCCGUGAAAAAUGGGGAUGUCACAUAGGAUGUCCUCGGGUUCCAUUAAGGCUUCUUUGAUGGUUUCGGGCUGGACCGAGGACAUAAAUGCCACAUAGUGACAGUGAUCAGUUAAAUCUUUAAAGGAUCGAGUUUGAAUACCUAAGGAUGGAUUUCCAAUGAUUUGACCCAGUGGGUGGUCCUUCUAAUGGGUUAUGAGCAUUUUAACACUCCUAAGUGUACAUGCAACCUUUGAAAACCUUGGAUUUAUGUUUGUCUAAAAUACAUGCAAAAUUUGAUUUCCAAGGUUCAUAAUACUAUCUAGCAUACAUGGGGAACUUUUAACAUAAAAGAUGGCUAGAAUUACAUACGUUAUAGUUGAUUUGAUUCCUUGAAAACCUUGAGAGCCUAGCACCCAAAGUGUGACGCCUCAAAUGCUUCACACAACUCCAAGUGCUUUGGAAUAACUUUGAGAUAAUGUAGAACACUCCAAAAAUCGGGCUAGCCCUCUACUUUUCUUAGUCUAGCCGAUUUUCGAUGAUAUCAUGUUCUUUAUAUAGUAUGUUACACUUAGGGUUACAUCAUGUAAAACCUAAUGUAACAUGACUCUUCAUUUCCAUGACCCAUGGGUUUAAACCUCCAUGGAGAAUCCAUGGAGCAUCGUAUGGGUCUUAGCCUAACUUGAAAAUCCAUGGAGCCUUUAGCCCACUAUACAAGUUAUGGAUGAUUUACAUAAUCAACCCAUAUAUUUAAUUAGUCAUCUUUUGAUCACUUAAUUAAUUCUAAAUUAAUUUUUGAUCAAUACUAAUUAAAUAAUUCUAUUAAUAUAUUAGAACUUAUAAUAUAUUAAUAAACCACAAAUGUUAUUUCUCUCCUUUAGUUUAUCCAAAUGCAUGAUGCCAUGCAACCGAAAUGGACCAUGCUAAACUAGGUCAAGUACAUACCAUAAAUAGUUAUGGACUUAGACACCUUAUCUAACAGUCUCCCACUUGGAUAAGUCUAAUAACUAUAACUGCAAGUAUGACUUCAGGAACCGGUCAGCAAUCGUAGCUCUUUCAAGGUCUCUUGGAAUUGAGAAGAUGAUGAUAUUCCAUUUAAGAUAAGUGAUCAUAUAAUCCUCUGUUCUAGAUAUCAGCCGUACAAAUACAUCGAACAAUGUCUUACUUAUUGUCCAGCAAAUUGUUUCCCGACUUCCGAUUUGUUUAAGAGGAACUUAAUUGAACACAUCAACUUAGUUCUGAUCGGGCGCGGUACAUAGGUCAAAAAAAAUCAUCGAGGGGCUCAGAUAUCGCUUCUAAUCCGAGAAGGAACAGAUAAACUUCGACUCAUUUGCUUAUUCUACUACUUGUUGAAUCACACACAAUAGCACGUUUUAUAACAUCGAGUUACCAAUGCGGUUUCAUACGAUCAAUGCAUAACCAACUCAUAGGCAACAAGUCAUAUCUAUAGGUUUGAAGACUUAUAUGAUAUUACCAUCUCACGACCACUCAAGAUAAAUUCCAUGAAGUGAUACCAGUAAGCGUGGGUUGAAUCCAAUACUCAUAACUUAUGAGCACUCAUGAGUGUUGUAGCCAUGUCCAACAACUUAGACCUUUGCAACUAACUCAUGACAUUCUUGUUUCAUACCUACUUCCAACAUAUGACCGACUGUGGAUAAUUUGAAUAAUAUGAUAUACCAAAAAUAAUUAUUCUGGAAGUCAAAACAUGCAAAAGAAAUAUAGUAAACGAUUGACAAAAGAUAACAACACUUUACUCAAAAAUAAACACAUCUUGUAUUCAUCAUCAAAUGUCAAUUACACUUUACAAAUUUCAAAAUUCUCUAACUACUAAAACUAAUAUCAUCCUUUAGCCCUAUGCUCUGAGCAUGCUGGAGAUGCUUAACCCAACUCAGUCCCUUCGUGAGAGGAUUUGUUGGGUUCUCAUCUGAUGAUACUCUCUUUGCCACGAGGAGUCCUUCUUCUAUCCGAUGUAUGAUGAAAUGGUAUUUUCUGUCGAUGUGUCUGCAUCUCCCAUGAUCCUUUGGAUCCUUGGCUAUGGCAACUGCACUUUCACUAUCACAUAAAAUUUCCAUUGGCUCCUUUAUAGCUGGUACAACUCCACGGGCUGCAAUGAAGUUCUUCAUCCAUCUCGCCUCCUUUGCUACCUCACUUGUUGCUAUAUACUCUAACUCACAAGUUGAAUCAACCACUGUCUCCUUCUUGGAACUCUUCCAAGUGAUUGCUCCUCCGUUUAAGGUAAACACCCAGCCUGACGAAGAGUGGAAAUUGUCCAUAUCAGUCUGAAAGCUAGCAUCACUAUACCAUACAACUCUCAAGUCAUCACUCCCACCGAGGGUAAGGACCCAGUCCUUAGUCCUCUGUGGGUACUUGAGGAUAUUCUUUACCAUAGUCCAGUAAGCCAUGCCAGGGUUCCCCUGAUAUCUGCUGACCAUGCUCAAGGCAAAGGCCACAUCAGGAGGAGUGCAGGAUGAAGAGAUAAAAUCUCUAAGACCGUUUAGAUCUUUUACAGGUUAAUCAAAGAAGAACAAACAAUUAUAGUAAAUGAACCAAUGAACACAAGAUGGAAUCAAUAUAAUGAUGAAUAAUUCAAAUGUAGUCACGCCUCAGCAGAGCUCGAUUAAGAACUUCCACUGUAGAGGUGAGCUAGGGUUUACAAUACAAUAAAGAGAAUUAUUCAAACGAUCCUUACAAUGAUGCAUGCAUGCAUCUUAAAUACUAAAACCCUAGAAUAAAACAAAGCAUGGUUGGACUGGCCCAAACCAGUUACAAAACUGGGCUAAUUAAACCGAGCCCAAGACGCAACAUUCAGAACUCAACAAUCUCCCCCUUUGCGUCAAUUAGGGCGAGGCCCUUACUUCGGUUGAGUGACCUUGACUUGCUUCACAACCUUGAAAAACUGAUGGAUAAUACCAAGAAGUGUCUGUCGAAACUGAAUGUACCAAGGAAGCAUACCAGUGAACAACUUCUUGUCAGCUUCACUGUUCUAAUUACACCUCUGAAUGAUCUCUAGAAUAGGCUCCAAACAAGCAGUAGAGAACAGGUGCUUGUCAAUAAGAGCGAACAUGAACUUUUGACCUUCACCCCUAAUGAACAUCACAGUAUGAAACUUUGUAUCAAUAUUUCCCUUGAUCAUCGUAUUCACAUUGCUAGCUCUUCCAUUUGGUUUCACCGUAGUAUGCUUGUGAAUGAGAGAUGCGAUUUCUUGAUCCAUCUUUGCUACUUUGUGAAUGUAACAAACAAGCAUUCACUUGAUGUGAUCAAUGAUCGGCUGAUACUCCUGUGGAUUGGAUAACAAAAUGUUUUUUAGGAGUAUCCAGUCGUGUGGGUUCAAGUUUGGUAGGUCAGCCAAGGAAAUAGUAUGGACCGAGCUAUUUGAGCCUCGGGUGCGACAUCCCCAUUUUCACGGCCAGAAAAGGCCGAUUUUGUUUAUGUUUUAUAAAAAUUAGAGUACUUCUUUUCAUAAAAAUGUUGGGAAUUUGUUCCCAGAAAAACACGAUAAAUACGUUUUCAAAACAUUUUUGAAUAAACCUAUUUUAUUCAUUUUAAAACGUUUGGGAUGUCAUUGUUAAUACAGGAACAUAAGCAUAAACGGAACUUACAUUUAUUUACACUAGUGAUCUACAUAUCUUUAAUCUCUUAGUGUAAUGUCACUUCAUAUCGACACCUGUGAUAUAAAUAAACUGGGUGGGUCAGGUUGGGAAAGUUGGUGAGUACAUAGAGUUUUCAACCCACAAUAAUAUAAUUAUUAGGUUUAAUCAUCAAAUAGUUAACCCAAUUACCCAUCCCCAUUAUCUUCUUUAUUCUGAAGGAUCUACCCUAAGAAUCAGCUAUUUCUUGUUCAUUCAUUCCUAAGUAGUAUCCUAAGGAAUAGGUAUGAAUUUCAUCGUUGUAAAUGAUACACCUGUCAAGCACAACUACUAGUUCUGUCACUUAGGCGCAGCUGCCAAAAUUGUGACAAUCUCUAUGCGGCGCAUCUGCCGAAAUAGUCCUUUUAGGCGCCUCUGUCGGGGUUAUGAGGUUCUCUAUUAGGCGUUUCUGCCGGUAGAGUCCUUUAGGCGCAUCUGCUGGGUUUUAUUGACAGUAUCGUUUUCGAGAGUCCACUCGCAAUACAUAUCAAUGGGUUUUUAGAGUACACCGGUGAAUAUGUCGUUCACAACACUAUAGGUUGCGAUUCCACUCGCAAUACUAUUAUUACUAUUAUACAAGCAUUAAAUAAUGCUCAAUAUAACUCAUAAUAAUAGCCCAAAUAAUUAUUUUAAGGACCUAAUAACAUUAAUAUAAUUAUUUGAAAGCAAUAUUAAAAAUUGCGUAAGCGUAGCUCACUUAUAGCGUAUUUUAAAGAAAACCAGGCUUUGCUCGGAGCAGCGUUUCGAAACCGAAAGACCCUUUUUCUCGGGGCUUCCUUUAGGUGCUAGGUAUUUUUCCUAGAGCUUAGGGGUGGUAUGGGAAGCUAGAGAGAGAAAGAAAUUAGAGAGAGAAGUGAGAAAUGGUGUGGAAAGCCGACUGCCUUUGCUGCCUUUCUAUAGCCUGCGAGGCCUCAGUACGCUGGUCGUACCUCAGACUUACAAUGGGUGUAAUGCUUCGUUCGUACAACACGCGUCGCUUCGCUGCAGGGUCAUCGUGGCUCUUCUCAGAACCGCACAAGGUUCGGAACAUGGGGCGUAAUGUCUUUGCACGUGGGGCGUAUGCGAGGGCUACGUGGCAUGAUCCGAAGCGCGUUUCUUCAUCAGCAAUGGGUGGCCCAGAUGCUGCCACGUUACCAGCUCCUCACCAGGCUUCGCAAAUUCGACUAAAAUCUUUAAAAAUUCGUAACUUUCUCAUACAAACUCCAUUUUUGACCUUCUUUAUAUCCAUGCGAAGGCGGAAACGUACUCUACAACUUUCGUUUAGACUCUGUUGGCUAAUUUUGGCUCUAUUUUAAAAUUUAUAUUAUUAACAGGCCGGGAGAGGAUUGGUCCGUUAAAUUCUCAUAACUUCUUCAUCCGAUGUCCGUUUUCGCCCAUCUUUUUCACGUUACGCUACUCUUAACGAGAUAUUCGAUUCUAAUUUAGGUCGUGUCGGCUAAAAAUCGCUCGAUCUAUUAUUCAAAUUUCGGGUUGUACACUGCUAAGCCGAAACUUCGAAAAAUCAUAACUUCUUCAUACGAAGUCAAAUUUGGGCGUUCUUUUUAUGGACGUUCUCGGUUUAUUGUAUUCUAUGACUUUCGUGUAGAUCGCUAAGGCUAAAACUCGUUCUAUGGUAAAUUCACUAUUUACGCUUCUCGGUGCCGUGCCAGUUUCGUCGCGAAACUUCGAAGGGUCAUAACUUCUUCGUUAUAACUCGGAUUUCGGCGUUCUUUAUAUGUACGGAAACCUUGUGACAUAUUCUACAACUCGGUUAAGAUUAUUUGUUCUUAAUAAUCUUUUGUGAAAAAGUCGUUUUCGACCCCUAUUGCCUCUAAAUUGACUUGCCCAGAUAUACGGGCGUUACAAUUAUCUCCCCUUAGGAUGAUUACGUCCCGAAAUCAUCAACGAAACAGGAUUGUAUAAUGACUUCAUACGUUAUCUCUUCAUCCUAGGUAAUAAUUGUAACUUCUAUGUUGCUUUGAACGAGUAUUUAACUCUUGGACUCCUUAACUGAAGGCGGUGCUCAGUCUUGCCUCUGCUCGUUAGACUUUCAAUCAUGACCUUCGUGUCACAACAUCAUUCUUUAUCAGAGACUCCUUCUUCUUCUUAAUAAACUUAGGAUAAGUUCAUUUGAUUACUACAAUUGACCGAUGUGUUCUAAUUUAAUGACCUAUCAUCAUAUGUAGCAAUGCUUAGACUCAUGUCCCUUAGAGUCAAAUUUCGGAAUGGAUUAUGCCUUCCUUCAUGGUCUAAUGUGAUAUAAUCACAUUUUAACAUGUAGCAUUUCUAGCCACCAACUUCUUUAACAACGAGCACAAUACUUCUAUUGAUCGCAUUGAUUUCAAUCUUUUGGUUUAAGUCGGACGCUACAUCAAACUUGGUUCUCUGAACCACGUAACCUACUCAUCGUAGUUGGACUCAAUGUGAUUGGACCACUAGGGUCGGAAUAUCAACAAUCUUCUUAGUCAUUACCGAAACAAUUGCAACGAUAUACUUGAAUAAAACGAAAUCAAUUACUAGCUUCUUGGUAACCUUGUGACUUUCCCUGAUCCAAGUGUGAGUCCUGUGCUUCUGGUAGUAUAGGCCUCUACUACCUUUCACACCUACUCAUACUCGUCCCAAGUAUUGUCUCGCAGUCCCCAAGUCCUAAAAUCACAAAAGAAUUUAACACAUAUGAGUGUGUCCAAAUAAUCAUAAAAUUUCCCUAGACUCUACUAGGACUUAUUCCAUGAAUAUCUUCAAUCAUCAAUUCUGCUUCAACUCGGUUGGUGAUGGACAUGCCAAACGAUAGGACAACUUCAGGAAUCACACCGAUUGUUACUUCAUCCUGCUAAUUGAAGGUCUACUUCGGACGUACCAUAUUCCUCUAAACGUAUUGUCUGACAUAUUCUAAAGGCAAGAUACCACUCUUACGAUAUCUUUCGAUAGGUGUCAUUCACUAUCAUAAGCCUUUUCAUUUCCUCUAUUUACUCAAUUCUCUAUGAGUCUUCACCAUGACGUUAUUUUCACAGAAGCAUGCAUUCAGCGCAUCAAGACAAGAAUAUAGAUAGAGAAGAUUUAGAUGUGUAAUCAUCCUAAUUACUCCGAAAAGUUACAUGCCAGUUCUAAUACCGUAAUUAAACGUUUAGAAAUCUAAACACAUAAAGUUUCCAGAUCCGGUCGGCAACAGACCAUAGACCUGAUCAUACAUUUAGCAUCAUAAAUCAUUUAGCACAUAAAAGCAUAUUAGGCAUUUUCCCUAAAUAAGUUAGUGCUUGUGUCUAUUCAGGUGUAUUACCUAAGACACACUCCUCACAAUCAUUGCUUAGCACUCUAAGUUUAAGUCUAUAAACAAAUCCAUUUUCGUAGAUCGCUUAAACUAAUGCUCUGAUACCAACUGUGACAUCCCCAUUUUCACGGCCAGAAAAGACUGAUUUUGUUUAUGCUUUAUAAAAAUCAGAGUACUUCUUUUCAUUAAAAUGUUGCGGAAUUUGUUCCCAGAAAAAUACGAUAAAUACGUUAUCAAAACAUUUUUGAAGAAACGUAUUUUAUUCAUUUUAAAACGUUUGGGAUGUCAUUGUCAAUACAGGAACAUAUGCAUAAACGGAACUUACAUUUAUUUACACUAGUGAUCUACAUCUCUUUAAUCUCUCAGUGUAAUGUCACUUCAUAUCGACACCUGUGAUAUAAAUAAACUGAGUGGGUCAGGUUGGGAAACCGAGUGAGUACAUAUGGUUUUCAACCCACAAUAAUAUAAUUAUUAGGUUUAAUCAUCAAACAGUUAACCCAAUUACCCAUCCCCAUUAUCUUCUUUAUUCUUAAGGAUCUACCCUAAGAAUCAGCUAUUUCUUGUUCAUUCAUUCCUAAGGAGUAUCCUAAGGAAUAGGUAUGAAUUCCAUCGUUGUAAAUGACACAUCUGUCAAGCACAAUCUGCUAGUUCUAUCACUAGGGCGCAACUACCAAAAUUGUGACAUUCUCUAUGGGGCGCAUCUGCCGAAAUAGUCCUUUAGGCGCAUCUGCCGGGGUUAUGAGGUUCUCUAUUAGGCGCUUCUGNUGGAUGACGUAGUGAACAGUAUCAUCACAAUUGCAUAAUAGUAGAAACAAGAAUCAAACAACCAUAGUAUUACAUAGUGAAUUUAAUUACAUGCGUGUUUUGUAUUGUUUAACAAUCACUCAAAAGUAAUUCAAAAAUAAGAGAUGGGUGUUGAGUGCUCCACCUUCUCCAAAAAUGUUGCGUCUGAACCUGUCUACCUUUGACCUGAAGAUACAAGUUAUUUUGAAAACGAUUAUCAGCAUAAAGCUAGUGAGUUCAUAAGAGUUUAGUGUGAGUUUUUGUAUACAAAGCAUUAGUGUUAAAAAUGUAUCAUUUAUGUUCAUAAGUAGUAGGAACUUAGAAAUCCCAUAUUUUCCAGGAAAUAUCUUGUAAGUGACAAUCUGUGAAAAGUAUGCAUUCUUUAUUUCUUUGAAAACAGUAUAUUGUAAAAAUACAUUGGCAAAUCUCCAAAUAACAAACGUGAUAGGAUAUGUUAAGCCUGUGAUCAAUGAUAGAGGUGCGAGCUUACUUUAGUGAUAGAUACUUACUUACUUCGGGAUGUGGUUUAACAUUUAGUGUAGUAUUUUAGAGUAGUUGUAGGGUAUUCCUUAUACAUUACCAAUAGUGAGGAUAAUAGAGAAUCCCAUGACCUUCCCGGUCAUGCACAGUGUAGUGAAGUAGUGGCAUCCCUGGGCCUGUACGGCGCGGACUGAGUUAACAGUCAGGAUGUAAUAGCGUCUGCCCCGUAUAGAUCUAUACAUGUAGAGUCGUCUUCCUGCUGGAAAACUCCGGGCGUAGUGGAUAGAGAAUAGAGUACCUCGUAGUGGGUUAGUGUAUUAUUGUUUGUUUAGUGUUUUCUCUGUUGUUAUAGUGUAGUAAUCUUUUAGUGUUGAUCAUAGUGUAUUCUCCUACUAGUGUAUCAUCUAGUGAUAAUGAGUAUUAUAGUGUAGAUAGUAUAUACUUUAACGAGUAGUAGCGGUAACGACCCUAACCAUACCUAUUAUGGUUAUCUUAGUGGGGAUGUUUCUUAGCGCGUUAGUGACUUUAACAUUAAACGAAAGCAGUAAUAUUCAUAUCCAAUACUGAUAUACAGAUUUUAUAUAAGUAAGAAAUCAACGACAGUCNNNNNNNNNNNNNNNNNNNNNNNNNNNNNNNNNNNNNNNNNNNNNNNNNNNNNNNNNNNNNNNNNNNNNNNNNNNNNNNNNNNNNNNNNNNNNNNNNNNNGUGAAAAUGGGAUUUGUAACGGAAUUGGAUUUGGGGUUGUCACAUUUAGGCGCAUCUGUUGGGUUUUAUUGGCAGUAUCGUUUUCUAGAGUCCACUCGCAAUACAUAUAAUGGGUUUUUAGAGUACACCGGUGAACACAUCAUUCGCAACACCUACAGGUUGCGAGCCUGCUAGUGUUCCACUGGACUGUCUAGAAUAGUCUAUGGUUGUCAUCCAUACUCUGCUGAAUGACGGGGCCAUCAUUUGGGAAAAAGGCUUCUCACAUCAUCCGCCUUUCACCCUCACCUCACGGUCUAUUUCACCUCUCAACUCAUCAUCUAACUCAUAUUUCAUCUAUUACAUCUACCCAUGUCUUACCCCAACAUUUUCGUAGAUAUAAAAUCAUUAAAAACGUGUAUAAAAUCGUUCACCCAGAACAGAUAGCAAGUAUUUAGAUAAUAUGCACACAUAGCACGUAAUUUAUAUAAAAUACUUCAUAUCUAUGUGUAAGAUGAAAGUAAUUAUGCACUCACCUGAAAGGUGGUGACUCAGCACUCGGACAGCGCUCUGAUACUCUAAAAACAAUUUCCUUCGAUAAAACCUAGUAUCAAUACCACUAGGGUUUAGUCUAACGAUAACUGCGACAAAUUAAUAGCCUGACUAUUAUUACUAUUAUAUAAGCGUUAAAUAACGCUCAAUAUAACUCAUAAUAAUAGCCCAAAUAAUUAUUUUAAGGACCUAAUAACAUUAUUAUAAUUAUUUGAAAGCAAUAUUAAAAAUUGCGUAAUCGUAGCUCACUUACAGCGUAUUUUAAAGAAAAUCGGGCUUUGCUCGGAGUAGCGUUUCGAAACCGAAAGACCGUUUUUCUCGGGACUCCGGGAGCCUCGGGGCUUCCUUUAGGUGCUAGGUAUUUUUCCUGGGGCUUAGGGGUGGUUUGGGGAGCUAGAGAGAGAAAGAAGUUAGAGAGAGGAGUGAGAAAUGGUGUGGAAAGCCAGAUGCCUUCGCUGCCUUUUUAUAGCCUACGAGGCCUCGGUACGCUGGGGGUACCUCAGACCUACGUUGGGCGUAAUGCUUCGUUCGUACAACACGCGUCGCUUCGCUGCUGGGUCAUCGUGGCUCUUCUCAGAACCGCACAAAGGUCGGAACGCGAGGCGUAAUAUCUUCGGACGCGGGGCGUAUGCGAGGGCUACGUGGCAUGAUCCGAAGCGCGUUUCUUCAUCAGCGAUGGGUGGCCUAGAUGCUGCCACGUCACCAGCUCCUCACCAGGCUUCACAAAUUAGACUACAAUCUUUAAAAAUUCAUAACAUUCUCAUACAAAAUCCGCUUUUGACGUUCUUUAUAUCCACCCGAAGGCGGAAACGUACUCUACAAUUUUCGUUUAGACUCCGUUGGCUAAUUUUGGCUCUAUUUUAAAAGUUAUAUUAUUAACAGGCCGGGACAGGAUUGGUCCGUUAAAUUCUCAUAACUUCUUCAUCCGAUGUCCGUUUUUGCCCAUCUUUUUCUCGUUACGCUACUGUUAACGAGAUCUUUGAUUCUCGUUUAGGUCGUGUUGGCUAAAAACCGCUCGAUCUAUUAUUCAAAUUUCGAGUUGUACAUUGCUAAGCCGAAACUUCGAAAAAUCAUAACUUCUUCAUACGAAGCUAGAUUUGGGAGUUCUUUCUAUGGUGUCACACCCCAAACCAAGGAUGGCGGAAACGUCCGGGGGUGGAGGACUUCAUGUACAGUAUCACAACAACGUGUAUAAUAGUGCUCAAAGUAAAUACAACCCUCAUAAAUAUAAUUGAAAAAGUUACACCAAAGUAUAUGUUUACAUGUUUCAAAAUCAAUUACAUUAUGAUGACAAAAAUAAAUUGUUGACGAUUUAACGUCCCAUCCUCAAGGCGCUGAAGUUUUCCCGUUUCACUGAUUUCCUAAGAAUACAAGUAGUUUUGAAAGAGUGUCAACAAUUAAGUUGGUGAGUUCAUAAGAGUUUUUUUUUGACGUAGAAACCGUUUUCCUUGUAAAAUCGAUAGAGUUUGAUUUCCAGAAAAUCAAAUAUUUUCUUAGUUUAGUAUGAACAGAAUAUUUCUAUAUGAUGCGUUAAUAAAUCCUAAAAUGUCCCGUAGAUUUCCCCUAUAAUUGUCCAGCGUAUAUAAGUUAUAUAAGAUUUAAGUUAGAUAAAACGUUGAAUAUAGUGGGUCUGCCGUAGGUCCACACCCCAACGAGGAACAGGAGAUGAGGCGGGCCCCACCAAUUCUAAGCUAAUCAAGACUAAAUUCUUAUAUGACUCAAGCAUAUAUGCUCAGCGAUUAUGGUUGAAGUCUAACAAUUCUAGAUGAAAUAUAGUUUUAAUAUCAAAAUAACUAUUUUAUGUGAACCCGGUACUUUGGAAUGUACCCCAUUCAUAUGAAAAUCCGGUACUUUGGAAUGUACCCCAUUUAAAUGAAGACCCGGUACUUUUCCUCAAAAUGUGAAAUGUAAGUUUCUAUGUUAUGAAUUAGUGCAUCCUAGAAUUCCCUAUAGAUUCCUUCUAUAAUUUCCUUGUGUAUAUAAGUUAUAUAAAAUUAAAGUUAGAUAAAACGUCGAAUGUAAUGGGUCUGCCCUAGGCNUAUAAUUUCCUUGUGUAUAUAAGUUAUAUAAAACUAAAGUUAGAUAAAACGUCGAAUGUAAUGGGUCUGGCCUAGGUCCACAACCCAACGAGGAACAGGAGAUAAGGCGGAACCACCAAUUCUAAGCCAAUCACGACUAGGUUCCAUAUAACUCUAGCAUAUACACUUAGAAAUUAUAGCUGAAAACUAACAAUGCGAAAUUGAAUGUGGACUUAAAUCCAAAAAAAACGGAACCAAUCCUAGUGUAGUGUACGAAAUAGUAAUAGUGGCUGCGAACAUAAACUAUGCAUAUCAUAGUUCAUCGGAUACUGAUAGUGACUAGUGAACAUGAACGAUGCAUAUUAUAGUUUACCGAAAGUGGUGGUGAUGGUGAAUAUAACCUAUACAUAUCAUAGUUCAUCAAAUAGUGAUAGUGGUAGUGAACAUGAACUAUGCAUAUUAUAGCUUAUCAAAAGUGGUGGUGAUGGUGAAUUCCUUUCUUGUAAUUAAGUUCGUAGUGUAGAUGAAACAUAAACUAUACCUAUUAUAGUUUAUCACUUUGUUUGUAAUAUAUAUAUGCCAUAACUAUACCGAUUAUAACUAGCGUGUUCGUUUGUGGGGGUAUAAUGGCUUAACUAUACUUAUUAUAGUUUAUCAUAAUUAUCCAUAGUGGUAAUAACUCUUUUGUAUGUGUAAAACCUUUAAUCAUGUGUUUGUUAUGUAAAAUAACCCUAAACUAUACCUAUUAUAGUUUAUUAAAUAUUUGUUUGGGUAGUGAGCAUAAGCCUUACUUGUCAUAGUUUACCAAUGUUUGUAUUUUAAUGGAUAUAGCCUUGUAAUACCAUUUAUAUAUUUACCAUACUUAUGGAGGUAAGAAUCCAUUUGUUUUCUGAUGUAUGUCUAUAUAAUAAGACAAGAUGACAUAUAUGGUAAUAACAUAUCAUCACAUGAAGGUACACACCUUGCUCAACAAGUUACAAGGUGUAAAUGUAAUUGAAAACAUUUUUCUAGUAUUUCCAUUUCUAUUCUGUUUUUAGAAAAUUCAUAGAAAAAUAAUUAAAGGUGCAAAUCAGAAUCCGUAAAUUCUGAGAGUUUGGAAAAUGAGUCUAGUUUGUUCAUAAUUUUUAUUAUAAAUUUUAAUGACCUCUUACUUGUGUGAAAAAGUCCAUAAUCACAGACUGGUCCGGAUUGAUGUUUGAAAUGAUAGGCAGUUUUGUAAAAAUCACCAUAAAUUGUAGCAAAAUCGUAUGGAGAUGUGCAGGUAGUCAUUUUAAAGCUAAGAACUGGAACUACUUACACCUAAAACAGUUUUGAAAAUAAAAAUGUUUAAAUUGUCCAAAACAGUCCGUGAAUGGAGUUGAACUUUUCUGAUGAAGGCUGUUAGAAAAGUUUAGUUAUGUUCUUGGUGUUUUAACUUGUAUUGCCCCCCUAAAAAAUUGAGAAAACAUGAAAUUGUAGGGGUAUGAACUCACCUUGAGUGAUUUCAGUAGAUGGAUGAUGGAGAAGAGAAGUGUUCAACUCAAGAACACUUUGGAAGAUUGAUUGAAGAUUCAAAAAUCUAACAUAAAUAUGAUGGAGUUUGUGUAAGAUAUCUAUGAUUUGAGUAAAAGGGAGUGAAAUAAUCUUUUGGAGAAUGAAUAUACAUACCAAAAGUGAGAGAAAACUUGGAAGGAGGCCCUUGAAUCUCGAAUUUUUUGUAAGAGGAUUGAGAGAGAAGAAAUUGUUCAAUCUUUGGUGAAAUGGAAGCAAGUGAGUGAGAAUGAGGAGAGAGGAUGAAUGUCCAGCUCUAUGAACGUGGGAAUAACUUGUGAGAGAGGUAAAAAGUACAAGGAAGUGACAAGGUAUGGUGGGGAGGAGUGUGGGUUGGUCAUGGAGUGGGUAUGAGGUUGCUUGUGUCAUAAAAUAAAGGAAGGUCAACACUCUACCUUUGUACUUUACCCACUCUCUUUUGGAUAAAAAUUUAUCCUUAAGAACGUGAUAAAUCAUUAAUUAAAGGGUCUUACAUGUUAAAAUAAAGUUUGGGUGAAAAUUUUGUGUUAAAACAAUUAAAAACGGGCCUAAAACGCAAAAUUAGACGAAAACCGAGAGAAAUGAAGCUUCCCAGCGAGACCUCUCGAUCCUGGCCGAGGUUCGGUCCUCCUGACGUUGGGUCCGAAGCGAGGAGAGGCAACAAGGAAGCGAAGGGCUCGGUCCGAAGUCAUCAGAAGCUAGCUGGACCGAAGUGAACAGUACCAUCGGGUUCGGUUCCAGGAGCCUUCGGGUUCAGAUGUGUAGGCGAGGUUCGGGCCCGAGAGGACCCUUCGGGUUCGGUACAGCAGCCUUCGGCUCAGAAGGGUUCGGUCCCUAAGAGGGGUUUCGGGUCCUUAAGCCCUUUUUGUCCGUUUUUGCUCCGUUUUAAGCCGUUUUUGACUCGGUUAAGGGUCGGAAUGACCCGAAUGACUUCAAAAAGUUACGGAAACUUUUGAGAGAGAUUUAGGAGAGGUUUGGGAGAGAUUUCUCAUACAAAGGGAUAUUUAGGAGAGAUUUGACAUUCUUGGAGAGAUUUCUCAUACAAAGAGAUAUUUGGGAGAGAUUUCACAUUCUUGGAGAGAUUUCUCAUACAAAGAGAUAUUUGGGAGAGAUUUGACAUACUUAGAGAGAUUUGGGAGAGAUUUGACAUUCGUGGAGAGAUUUGACAUUCUUGGAGAGAUUUCUCAUACAAAGAGAUAUUUGGGAUAGAUUUGACAUACUUAGAGAGAGAUAGAGUGAAAACGACUAAGAGUGCUUUCAUGUGUGACAAUUGUGAGUGUUUGGCUCCGCAACGCAGGGUCCGUGAACCCUGUUAAGGAUUGUUUAAGGAUCUUACACACUCCCGAUAAGUAUGCAACAUUGAUUUAUCGGUUUGGCUCGUCACUCACCACAGUUUUAGGUUAAGGGGAUCUAGAUGUACGUACUUUUCGAUUUAUGAUCUCUCAUUAGAAUAACGAGUUGUUUAGUAAAUACAUAACGUAAGCCCUAGUACACAAGGGUUAGUUGGGUUGACCGACUUGACUUGUUGACUUUAUUUGACUUUGAAUUGACUAGAAUUUGACGGUUGUCACAUCAUCCCCCCGUUAGAGGGAAUUUCGUCCCGAAAUUUGCACUUUGAAUGGGGAUCGAAGAAUUCGGAGGAAAGAUGGGGGAGACUUUUCGCAGUACAAGAAAUUGAUUAUGGUGAGAAAUAACCCGCCUGAUGUUACAUGUCGGCCUUGGGAUUUCUUAUUGUUUAUGCUCUCAUUUUAAUCCUUGGCAUUACUACUAUGCAUGCUUUGAUCGAUGCUAGAUUUAACAUAUAAAGAAGUUUAUAAUUUAAAUGUCGAUGUUAGAAACACGUACUGAUAUUUGUGGGUUCCGGGGUGGUCUCUCCUUUGGUGAUCGCAAGCAUCCUUCCACCACCACUGGCAUCUCUUGCACUUGGGCAGUUCCUCUUAAAAUGCCCCGUUUCUCCACACUUGUAACAGACCGGGCUUACUCCAAAGUCGGGGAACUGGUUGAUGGGUCGUACCGGUGCCCUACAGAAACGGGUAAUGUGCCCCUUCAUAUUGCAGUUCAUGCAAUGCAAUUCUCUACAACCCCCAGUGUGAUGGAAGCUACACUUCUUACAUUUCGGAAGGGUUCCAGUGUAUUGUUUCAUGGGAGUUGGCAUGGUGAGGGUUAUGGCAGCAUGAACAACGAAAAUUGGCGUGGUUGUCGUAGUGUCAUGGCUGGCACGAUGGUCGAUGAGUUGUUGUGCCAACUCCUUGGUGCUGUCGAAGGUAGUUGGUCUUGAGGCCAAUACACUAUCAUGAAUAUGGGAUGAUAGCCCCCAAAGGUAUCGUUCUACCUUUUUCUCCUCUGGGGUGACCAUUGCUGGACAAAGGAGUGCUAGGUCAUUGAAUCGGGCAGUAUAAGCUUCGAGAUCCGUCCCCGACAUUUUGAGGUUCCGGAGUUCCUCUUCCAGUUUUUGCACUUCGCCUCUUGGGAAAUAUUCUUUCAGCAUCAAUGCUUUUAAAUCCUCCCAGCUUAUAGAGUUAGCCACUGCAGGAGUAAGCGACUUAACUCUGCCGUUCCACCAAGUAAGAGCUUUUCUUGUGAAGGUGAAUGCCGCAUACUUGACCUUGCUCGCUUCGGGACAAGCACAAAUUUCGAAGACUGCUUCGGUCCUUUCAAACCAUUGCAUCAGCGCGAUGACGCCCCCGCUUCCAUCGAAAGGAUCGGGUUUGCCAUUCGUGAAGUCUUUGUAAGAACACUCCUUAGUACGCCCCGUGCUGUCCCCUUGAUUCGAGUUAGUAUUCUCGGAUCCAGAACCGCCGGAACCAUUUGUACCUAUUUGUGACAUUGAUGCCGCCACGGAUGCUGUUUUUGGAUUAAUGUCUAAGUCCAUAACUAUAAUUGGUAAGANNNNNNNNNNNNNNNNNNNNNNNNNNNNNNNNNNNNNNNNNNNNNNNNNNNNNNNNNNNNNNNNNNNNNNNNNNNNNNNNNNNNNNNNNNNNNNNNNNNNNNNNNNNNNNNNNNNNNNNNNNNNNNNNNNNNNNNNNNNNNNNNNNNNNNNNNNNNNNNNNNNNNNNNNNNNNNNNNNNNNNNNNNNNNNNNNNNNNNNNNNNNNNNNNNNNNNNNNNNNNNNNNNNNNNNNNNNNNNNNNNNNNNNNNNNNNNNNNNNNNNNNNNNNNNNNNNNNNNNNNNNNNNNNNNNNNNNNNNNNNNNNNNNNNNNNNNNNNNNNNNNNNNNNNNNNNNNNNNNNNNNNNNNNNNNNNNNNNNNNNNNNNNNNNNNNNNNNNNNNNNNNNNNNNNNNNNNNNNNNNNNNNNNNNNNNNNNNNNNNNNNNNNNNNNNNNNNNNNNNNNNNNNNNNNNNNNNNNNNNNNNNNNNNNNNNNNNNNNNNNNNNNNNNNNNNNNNNNNNNNNNNNNNNNNNNNNNNNNNNNNNNNNNNNNNNNNNNNNNNNNNNNNNNNNNNNNNNNNNNNNNNNNNNNNNNNNNNNNNNNNNNNNNNNNNNNNNNNNNNNNNNNNNNNNNNNNNNNNNNNNNNNNNNNNNNNNNNNNNNNNNNNNNNNNNNNNNNNNNNNNNNNNNNNNNNNNNNNNNNNNNNNNNNNNNNNNNNNNNNNNNNNNNNNNNNNNNNNNNNNNNNNNNNNNNNNNNNNNNNNNNNNNNNNNNNNNNNNNNNNNNNNNNNNNNNNNNNNNNNNNNNNNNNNNNNNNNNNNNNNNNNNNNNNNNNNNNNNNNNNNNNNNNNNNNNNNNNNNNNNNNNNNNNNNNNNNNNNNNNNNNNNNNNNNNNNNNNNNNNNNNNNNNNNNNNNNNNNNNNNNNNNNNNNNNNNNNNNNNNNNNNNNNNNNNNNNNNNNNNNNNNNNNNNNNNNNNNNNNNNNNNNNNNNNNNNNNNNNNNNNNNNNNNNNNNNNNNNNNNUUGAUCUUAGCAAAUGGAUAAGAUCAUUAAGAGUCUUGUCUUAGUUUGUUUCAUAGGAGUCCCAAAGGAAAUCACUAUGAGACUUAGAAAGUAGUUGAGCCACCAACUUUCUCAAGACUUUGACACCCAACUCUCCCGACUUGUCAAUAUGUGACUACAUCUCCAAGACGUGAUCACACAUAGACCAUUGCUUGCCAAUAGGGCUUGAGUGACCUUAAACUUUUCAAGAACUUGUGGGUUAGGGAGAAUAAUUAGAGGAGGUGAAAGAAGUAUGAUUUCCAUAGGACAUCAUCUUCAUUUAGGAAGCUUGUUUCAAGAGAUUUGGGAAGAUCAAAAAUGUCAAAACCAAACAUCUUUUGGGAGAUAUUCAAGAUAGUUGAUCGAAAGUCCUUAAUAUGACACCCAAUAUGAAAUAUUAAGGCUAGGACCCAACACAAUAUUUUUAUAACAUGGAAGAGGGAUGCCGUAAUCCAAGCUAUAAAAUAUUUGAAGGUAGGUGAAUAACGAUUCACCAGUUUCCACCAAGAUAAACGAAAUGUAUUAUUAGGUUUUAAUUGGAUUUGAAACUACUAGAUCUUUGAGAUUCAUUGAACUNGGCAUGUUUCAAUCUCGAGUGUGCCCUUCAGGUUUUGUGACUGGGAUGCCGAGGAUCACAAAACAAGGUGUGAAGUAACCAUGCAAAUUACUUGGUACCCUUAAGUGUUUACCCUUCAAUCUAUGUGCCGGUUAACCACACACUCUCCAUCAAUACUAUGAUAAACAUUAAGUUACCCUUUGCCUACCUUAUUAAAUAUGAGUUAGUGUGCCGGUUAACCACACACGCUCCACUAACCGACUUAAACAAAGUGCAAAGUGUAAUUUCAUGGAUUAGCACCUUAUUCACAUUUUCCUAAGUAACUAAGAUUGGGUAUUAUUAAGAGUUUAGUUACUUAGUAUUGAUCAUUAAUACUUUUAAUGAAGGGAUAAUUAUAGUUCUAUCAAACCCGUUCGGGUAACGACCCUCCACCGGUCAAGGAAGUGGUGGGUGAGAGUGGACACCCAUUAAACUGCCAUUUUAUAGGCAGUAACCUUAUACCUUCCUUGUAGACCGGCUUCAUGAAUGAGGCCUACUAACGGUAAGACUGACUUGCUCUUAUACAUAUAUAUAUAUAUAAAUAUUAUUAACUUAUAAUAUUAUAAAGUAUAAGGGUUGAAUUUUAACUUUUAAAAUUCUAAGGGCUAACUUGGAAUUAAAGUAUUCAUAAGUGAAAACUUUUCAAAUUCCAAAACUUGAGGGCAAGUUUUGAAACUAUUCAAAACUAAUUAAUUCCAUAACUUAUGUGUUUAAAGUAGUUUUAAUCCAAAAACUCUUCAAGUUCCAUAACUUGAGGACAAGUUAUGGAAGACUUUAAACUAAUAAAAGAANNNNNNNNNNNNNNNNNNNNNNNNNNNNNNNNNNNNNNNNNNNNNNNNNNNNNNNNNNNNNNNNNNNNNNNNNNNNNNNNNNNNNNNNNNNNNNNNNNNNNNNNNNNNNNNNNNNNNNNNNNNNNNNNNNNNNNNNNNNNNNNNNNNNNNNNNNNNNNNNNNNNNNNNNNNNNNNNNNNNNNNNNNNNNNNNNNNNNNNNNNNNNNNNNNNNNNNNNNNNNNNNNNNNNNNNNNNNNNNNNNNNNNNNNNNNNNNNNNNNNNNNNNNNNNNNNNNNNNNNNNNNNNNNNNNNNNNNNNNNNNNNNNNNNNNNNNNNNNNNNNNNNNNNNNNNNNNNNNNNNNNNNNNNNNNNNNACUCAGUGAGUCGGGGAGAGUUAGAGAGGGUUGACAGGUGGACUGAGUCGAACUGGAACUUGCCGAGUUGCUCUUGAGACUCGGUGUGUUGAGUCGUGGUGGCCCCGCGAUUCAUGCCAGGUGGAACUCGUCGAGUCAGGGGAGUACUCAACGUGUCAGAGAGGGAAUCCUAGAGAGUUGGUGAAAACGCUUAGACUCGCCGAGUCGCUCUAGUGCACUUGCUGAAUCCGGUCAAAGUUGACCGUUGACAGUUGAUCGUUGACCGUUGGUCGUUGACCGUUGACCAGAGUUGACCAGUGUUGACUUGAUAUGGGUAGUCAACCUUAGUGGUAAAAGUGUUAAUUAGAGAUAUAUGAUGUUAUAGGAAGAUUAUAGCUCGGAGGAUCGAGCAUGAGUGAUUUCCAGGAUUAGCGAGUUAUCGAGAUACACAAGGUGAGUCUUCUCACUAUACUUUACCUUAAGUAGGUAAUCAGAGUUAUGUGACAGAGUAUUUGUAUGCCAUAUGUAUGUGAAGUGUUGUACUGCAUUAUUUCUAUGUGAUUUAUGUUGUUCAUGUUUAUAGAGUUGGAACCGGAAGGUUCAUAGAGUUAGAACCUGAGGGUUCACAGAGUUUGGGUGAACGGACCCAUAGAGUUAUAGCCUCGAGUGGCUAAUAUGUGUUAUGUGUGGUAUUUUGGGGAACUCACUAAGCUUUGUGCUUACAGUGUUAGUGUUGUUGUUUUCAGGUACUAGCGAUGACCGUGGGAAAGCGCCGGCUUGAUCUGUACACACGCAUGGGAUAUUUUUGAUAUAUAUAUGAUCUUGGGAUUUGUAUGAUGUGAAUUGGGAUUUUAAACUUGAUGUUUUAUGAAAAUUAAAUGAGAAAUGUUUUUAUACUUUAUGAAAAAUUAUUUUGAAAUUCACGGUGUUACACACAUUUGCAUCAAGUAUAUGAUAAAGCAAGCCUAGGCUUUGAUACCUCUAUUGGGUUUGAGCAUUCUAACACUCCUAUGUGUACAUGCAACCCUAAAUACCUUGGAUCUUUGUUUUCUCUAUUAUACAUGAAAAUAUGAACUUUCCAAGGUAUUCAUCCUAACUAGCAUAAUGACAUUGACUCAAAUGAAUAUAUCAAGUUAGAAAUACAUACCUCUUUGAUGUAGAAAGUCUUCAUGAAGCUUGAGUGCCUAGUGCCCUAAGUGUGACACCUCAAAUGGUUCACACAACACCAAAUACACUUAGAAUAGAUUAGAGAGAAAUCCACACUUCCUAAAAUCGGUUGGCCCUUUUUUUCAUAUAUAGUCUAGUUCCGAUUUUGUCAACAAUAAGAUGCUUAUAUAGUUAGUGACAAUUAGGGUGAACCCUAAUUUUCAUGGCUUUCCAUUUCCUUGGAUCCAUGGGUUCAAAUAUACCAUGGAGCAUCCAUGGAGCGUCUUAUAGGUUUUAGCCCAACUUGAUCAUAUGGAUUGUUCUACUACUUGUUGAAUCAUACACAAAGGCACGUUUUAUAACACCGAGUUACCAAUGCGUUUUCGUGCAAUCAAUGUACAACCAACUCAUAGUAACAACUUAUAUAUCUAGGUUUGAAAUCAUCUCAUGAUCACUCAUGAUAAAAUCCGUGAAGUGAUUCCAAUGAGCGUGGGUUGAAUCCAAUACUCAGAACUUAUGAGCACUCAUGAGUGAUGUAACACCACCUUGUUCAACAUCUUAGACCUCUACAAGCCCAAAUCAUGACAGUCUUGAUUCAUAUCUACUUCCAACAUAAGACCGACUGUGGAUGGUUUGAAUAACUUAGUCAAUCAGGAAGAACGGCCUAGUUAUUCUGGAAGUCAAAACAUGCAAAAUGAAACACAAGAAUAAUUGAAUCCAGUAUUGUCUCAGAACUUAUGAAUAUAAAUAAAACACCUUUUAUUUAUCACCAUAUGAUUACACAUUAUUCAUUUCAUACUAUUUCAGCUAUCAACUUUAUACUUGAAUUAAAACAAUAGUUUUCCCAUGCUCCGAGCAUGUACACUAUGUUUUUUCUAAACAAUAGCUUUGCCAUACACCAAGUAUGCACACUAUGUUGGUCUAUGAUCCUUACUUUGUGAAAUAAACCAGUUGAACCAUGAUUCUAAUUUCACACUCCCAAAUCCUUAUUGUAAAUGUAAGAAUUGCAAAUCCUUAUCAUUUACCAAAAUCUGUUAGAUUCUAAACUUAUAUGCAUUGAUUCUCUUGUAAUGAUUAUGCACAAAGUCACAAAAACUUGACAAUAAACAUUACAGAGCAUUCUAAAGGAGAUCAACUCCUUGGAAACAUCCUUCUUGCACUAAGUUUCCUAAUCUUACAUAGAUUGAAUAAUUUCUAACAUUGAAACAUUUUCAUAUUCCAUUUUGACUAUCACCUCUUAACAAGAGUUGCCUCCUUACAGAUUAUGUCAAUAUGGUCCUUCCAACAAUUAACACUAUACUUCCAACUGUCCCUGAGUAACCAAUCUUUGGUAAACCUUAGAUUUUCCACAACAAUUGCUUAAUCCUUUUAGUGAUAUCCAUUUCUAGACCUUUUCCCUUCUUAAUGCCCUAGGCAUUUGGAAAAUUUUAGAAACGAUGAAUAUAGCACAUGUAAUUGAUCAUAUAUCUGAAGCAUAUGGGACACGAUUCACGAUGUCUCAUAUAAAGACUAAACCACUCUAUUGCAAUAAUAUUUCCAUUUCAAUUUGCCAAGUUCUCAUAAGUCAGGUUAUGAAAAGCGAUGUCAGACAUAAACGAAUUUUAGAACGCAAAUAAUAGACCCAUAUAUAGAAUUUACUAAUGUUGAACCAUUCCAACAUAACAUUCAUAUAUAUCCUUGACUAAAUACGAUUAAAACCUCAAUCUAAGCUUUUAGAUUUGAGAUGAAGUAUAAUUUCCUCUCCCUUAAUUAUAGCAAAACAACUCUUUCCCAAUUGAAACCUUUUGUUUUCUAUAAUUAACAUUGCUAACUUGCAACCUUUAUCAUAAUUAUCAUGCUCCCACUAACAUGAUGAUUAUUAGCAUAACACUUAUGCUCCCACU